CCCAACACUUCCAAACGGGGAAUCAGUUGAUCUGCUAAUGGUUGCUGGUUUGUGUGUGGCCCAAUACAAGUGUCUAAGAUAUUUACGUAUCUUAGAAACUUGUAUUGGCUACCUGAAGCUCCAGUACAUUCAGACGGGGGAAUCAGUCGAUGUGCUACUAGUUACUGGUGUGUAUGUGGCCCAAUACAAAUCUGUAAGAUAUUUAAAUAUUCCAGUUCUGUAUACGAAAUAAAAUAAACUACACGGUUCUUAAGUUUCAGUUCUGGAUUUCCAACCUUGAAAAUUCUAAUUCGAUACUUUGAGUUUUUAAGUUUAAAACCGGGAUGCUGAAUUCAAAAUUUUAAAUUUGUAUAACUUACAUUUUUCAAGUUUACAUAAUAUAAUACCAUAAUUUAAAAAAUAAAGAUUGAGUCAUCAAUUUUUAAAAAAUAUAUAAUUUGGCACAAAAUGGUAAGGGGACCAAUAAACCCGGACGGAGGUAGUAAUAAAGAAAAUAAGUAUUCUUAGUUCGUCAUGUUAUUUUUCAGACAACUACCUGAUGUUCCUGGUAAUCAACCGCAGGUUAGUUUUAAGUCAGAUUUCCUCUUUUGCUGGAAACCCCUGAUAAUAAUUGGGUUAAUCAACACGCAGUAAAUAUCAAAUGCUUUUUAAAAGUUUCCAUAUUUUUUAAACGCUAACUCUAAGUUUAACAUGUCAUAUAUGAAAUUUAAUUAGAACAAUGCGUAGAUUUCUAUUUAGGGUGCAACCUUAAUCAAUAGCGCAUGAUCUGUCUUUAUUGCAAGCCGGAUUGGAAAUGAGCACCUUAGCAAAACCAAAAUUGGAGAUGAAAGAAACAAUCUAUAACCACGCAGAAAAAAGGUUGAUUUCUUACCUUAUGCCGAGAGAGAGACGUCUUAGGAUUGAGAACAUCCAAAUAUGUUGUGAUUGUGUGAGCACUGAGGCCAUCGUUGGCGAUGGCGGGAAGGAGGAUAAGUGCUAACACAGAUGGGAUGUCAUGUAUUGAAAGGAAAGACCUAGACCUAUUAGGGUCUUGACUCAUGGUUAUUGGGUUAGAGGAGUGUGGUAUUUGUUUCUCCCGUUGCAAUGUACGGGCUUUUUUGCUAGUAUAUAUAGACUAGUAAGCAUGCACGUGCAUUGCACGUCUGAAACAAAAUAAGUUCACAUGGUACAACAUUAAAAUAAUAUUUAUCCAAAAUUUUAGAUCGCUACAAAAUGUUGUCAAGUCACUCAAAUUGUAUUUCUAAAAGUGUGACAUAUUUGUGAUCGAAGGCACAUAUCAUAAUUUAUAAUAAAAAACAUAUAUUCUGAAUCUAAUUUUUAUUUUAGCAAUGUCCAUAUUGUCACGAUGACUAUCUCGUGCAUACUGGCACAUCGACUAAGACAAAAAUAAGAAAACAUUGGUGAUAUGAGGCAAAAUGUAAUAUGUGACUAUAGUAACUUAUACAAAAGUUUAGAUCCAUAUAGUGAGAUGGAAUGUCUCUGAAUAGUUGGACUUCGUGGCGCGCUAGUAUCCCUACACACAUAUUAAAUCAGUCAACAUUCAUGUAUUCAUCAUUGUCUCGUAUGUUUUUUACUUGUCUCAACUUUAAACUAAUAGGAUAAAGAUUAGACCUUUUCACCCAUUCACUAAUGUAAAAUCAGAAUUCUCUCAGUUAUAAUGACAUUAGAGUAGUAAUUUAUUGGAAUUCAAAAUUAACUAAAAAAAUAUGUCUCACUCUAGUAGAGCGACAUCAUCAUCCAUACUGAUAAAAAAGCAAAUUUCAUCCAAUAAGUCAUCAUUUGUUGGAUUGAGAGACGUUGAAAGGGUAAAUGAUUGCGAGAUGAGCUCAAUUUCUGAUGAUGUAUUUGAUGUUUUGAGGUUCUCAGAGGGUCUAUCCAAGAAUCAUACAAUCCAUGUGAUUUGUGGCACCCUGAACGUCAUCUUCCAUGUCUCGAUUUCUUAUAUCAUCAUCAUCAUCAUUCAAUUCCGAGUCCGCUAAAGUGACAACUAAUUUUGUUCUAAAAUCUGUCAUAUAAUCCUAUUAAAAUAAUAUCAGAGUUAAAUAAUGAUACAACAUAGAAUAAAUAUAAUAAUAAACAACGGAAAAAUACUUGUAGAGUGUCAGACAAAAUAUCUCUUGUGAAGUAUUCCAUAAAAUAUACCAUCCACAUACCACAAGAUGAUCUGCAUGAUUAGUAAACUUAAAUCUACUCAAUUUUUUUCAUCAAUUCUAUUGAUAUUUGUAUUAAAAUACUUUUAAAAUCAUCAAAUGAUCAUGACUGUAAUAAGCUGUGAUGAAAAAAAAAUCUCACCCACGCAGGUGAAUUGGACAUGCCCUAUAAUAAAUAAUCGAUGAUAAUUCUUUUUCGAAAAUGUUAACGCCCAGACGUGUGGGCAUUAGUCAACUCGUCCACACGCCUCCAUCACCGUCCAGUAACUUCUGCACGAAUGUUGGUAUGAAUUAGCUGAUUUUGUGUCCACGUAGGACAACUCGCGUGUGUGGUGUGUGAGAGAGGUCGCCCACACAUCCGUUUUACCACACGGAGGGGCCGAUGUGUGGGCGUUUAGCAGUUCGCCCACACACCAGUUUUUCAAUCACGCACAAGGGCUGGUGUGUGGGCAUUUGCCAUCUCGCCCACACACCCGCCUCCUCUCCCACACCCAAGCUGCCAGUUGCCAUGCGUUUUGCAGUGUACAUGGCAACUGCCCUAGUAUGAUUGCAAGCAGAUGGCAUCUCUCUCUCUUUUUUACCCGAACAUGUCAGUUGCCAUAUGUUUUGCAUGGUACAUGGCAAACUGCCCUAACGUGCACGUAAGCAGAUGGAAACUCUUUCUUUUUAAAUGGCAACUGCCCUAGCGUGCUUGUGAGCACAUGGCAACUCUCUCUUUUACCCGAACAUGUUUUUUGCCAUGCCUUCUUUUGUAGCGCUACAUGGCAACUGCCUAGUGUUAGUAGGUGGCAACUCUUAAAGUUUUGAAAUCAUGGCAACUGUAGUAGAUCAGACCACACAUGACAACAGCUGUAGUUAUCCAAAAAAUGGCAAUCUGGAACUUUGACCUGAGAUGGCAACUGCAGUUGAGCAAACAUGGCAACUGUAGUUGUCCGACAUGGCAACCGUAGUUCAGCGACAUGGAAACUGCACUUAAACGAACAUGACGAGGGUCCGGCCCAUGGCAACUGCGGGGCGCGCGGUAAAGUGUCACGUGGGGCGUGCGGGACCAUGAGGUACGAGGCCUGACGUACCGGGCGUAUGUGUGUUAUCUAUUUUGCCCACACGCACGCAUGUAAGAGGGACCGGGAGAAAAAAAAAGAGGCGUGUGGGCGCUAAUUGUUUUGCCCACACACAAACGUGUGAGCUGGUCCUCUUAGGCACCACACAAAACAUGUGGGCAGAUUUUUUAACGCCCACACGUGUGGCAGUUAUUGACGCCCUUCUUUUUUGUAUGGACAAUGCCGCACGCACUCACAAUCCCUCCCUGGUCACUGCCUAAUAGAAGUAUUAUUAGUAAGAAGUAGUAGUAUUAAAAAAACUCAGUCAGCUAAAAAAACUCAGUCAACCUUCCUCAGUCCCCUCACAUUUCUUAUCUUCCCCAUUCUUCCCUUCCUACCUCCUCCUCUGUUGCCACACGCUAGAUCCCCCAUCCACAGCCGGCACUCUCUGGUGGGCGCCCCUCCCAUUCGUCACCAUUGUCGGCGGACACAUAGGCCCAUGCUCUUCCCUGCCCCGCCCCUUCUUCAUAUCCGAUCCCCGAAGUGCUCGAGGAGGCGCUCGAGCUCGGCAUGCUCGCCGGCGACACCGGGGCCCUCCCUCCUCCUGAUGCACUCUCCGUCGCCGCCAUGAGCGUCUCCACCUUCUCCCGCGCGCCGUGAAUCCUCCCUCCCCCCUGCUCGAGACGCCAUCAAGGUCCGGUUCCAACUCUUCUUCUCCCCUCGAUCCGGAUGCUCUGCUCUCCGACACCAUCUUUUUGCUUGUUCGAUUCAGUCUGGAGCAGGAGCAGCUGCUGCUCGCGACCUCUAGUUCCUUCUUUCCAUGGAUGUGCUGCUGCUCGGGGCCCUCCCUAUGCUUCUCCUCGCUCGUACGGGUCCAGGUUAGUCUCUCCGACCCCGCCGCCUGCUCGUCCCCGUAAAAUCGGUGCGUAGCCUCACUGUGUGCAAUGUUCAUCGCCUAGGGUUAGCUGCUCAGGGGACAUGGUGUGUUCCGUGUGGCGCUGCCUUCGCGGCAGCCGCCGUUGUUGUGUCUCGUGUGUCGCGGCAGCCAAUGGGUCGGGAAGGUCUGAGACUGGAGGUCCCUGCUCGCCAACUCACAGACGGUUGUUCUCCGACCAGUUAAAAAUGAGUAAGCUUUCUUCCAAGCCUAUGAUUUUCCUUUCAUCCUCUUAGUUGGUGCCUUUGUUGAUGAUGCAGCCCUGAAUGGUUCAGAUUUUUUGAAGGAGAAGGAGGUGCGAAAGGGGAUGGGAGCAACAAGUCUGAAUCGAAGAGUAUGUUUUGAUUCUGAGAUGCAUUGUACAGUAUUUUUAUUGUUCUAAGAAAUCCAUGUAGUUGUCUAUGGAGCAUUUCCUUGAAGUGAUGGUUGGGUAUAUUUGUUUACUAAUUCAAACUUCCAGAUUACCUUAGUCGGCAACUCCAAAUAUUUCUUAGAUGUCUUACCGCAAGCAUUGUACUGCAAAAAUAUAUAUACUAAACCGGUUCAUGAUAGAUCAACCAAAUCUCGUUGAUGCUCUCACCUAUUAGGAUAUGUACAUGAAAAGAAGGAUAUGCUAAAUCUGCUUAGUCCCAACAAACAAUCAUUCAAAUGCACCAUUUUACGCUCUGGAAGCAGGAAGUGCAACUUCUUUAGUCUUUAGAAUUAGAAUGGAUCAGGUGUACUCCAGAUGUUUUCAGUUUUAAAUAAUUAUGCACACAAGAGUGCAUUGCGAAAUAGCAAUAAAAAGUUGGAUUUUGACUGGUACCGAAAAGGAUUAGACCUCCGUAGAAACAAUUCGCUGCUGCUGACUCAGACAGAGUUGUGCUGCACCACGUUGAUCUCGUCGUCAUCGAAGUCGUUGAUGGACAUGCCCAUAUCUUGCCGCCUGCAUGGCAUGUGUAGUGACCAUAUGGACAUGAAGCUGAUCCUAUUGCUCAAAGGAUACAUAUUAUCUUUAUGUGUUUCCUGAACUGGUCGGAUUAGCAGUGAUGUUUGCAUCUCCUCCCUCUUCCUACUCGACCACCACUUUCUUCUAGGAACUGAUAGCAUGUCCUGCCAUGAGGAAUUUGAAGCGGUCAGAAGACAUAAGAGCCGGGUCCUAAACUAUGUUAAGGCCAUGCUGAUGUGUAAGAGUUUGCGGGUGACAUCCUCCAUGGCAAUCAUAUUCCCUCCAACAUCCUUCAGGCCAUGGCGACCAGGUAAUGCUAACAGCUCAGUUGGAUAAAGGUUCCUUAUGUUUUGCGAUUUAGUUGAGUUGGGUUACUCUAUUGUGUGCCUCACGUCGGGGUUGAGUAGAGUUAAUCUUGCCUAUGCUAGUGCUAGCCUGCUGGAUUUGGGUGAUAUCCAAAGAUACAUUUAAACUUGCAAACAAAUUUCCUUAGAGGGGAAUUAUAACAUGCAAGCACUAUAAGUUCAGUGUAUUAUUAUUAGUACUGCAUAGCAAAUUAGCAAUCCAGUUCAUUCAUAAAUAAGAUUUCAACACACCAUUGGUAUAAAAUAUCGUACAUAGUUCCGAGGUCUACAUGCCUCGCCUGAUCCUGAAUUUGACCCAUAAAUAUAUUUCAGAGACACAACUGUAAAUAUAUUAAGUAAGAGCAGAGGUGACUGUUGCUGCUGUUUUGCCGGCAAGAGGGCAUGCAUCUGUGCAUACAGCAGCCACGGACUAAGCAUUCCUUCACCAGUAGUAAGGUGUUCUUACCCUUGCAUUCUUUGUCCCCAAAUAAGAAAUAAGAGGACUCUGUCUCCUGCCGCCAUAGGGGGUCAUCUGCCCAUGUGAUUCUCCACCGCAUUAUGGUCUUAUCAAACGAUGGUGAAGUCGGACUAAUAACUAACCAUAGUGGUGAGGUCUUUGCGGUGCAUUCCUGGGCCUAGCGAGUCGAGCACCUGGAUACACUGCACCUUGGUAUUUUUAACUGCUAGGUACCAAUAAAGUCUUCAAUGUUUAUUCAUGCAACAGCUAGAACGAAUAUCUGAAAAUAGGCAUUUUUUUAGUUUAGGUCCCAUCUAUACAAACAUCCGUCCUCGAUUGAAUUAAUAGUAAUAUGUACGGAACUGAGGCUCACCAUAUCAUGUUCCAAAUAAGUUGUAGCUCUCUUUAAUACCCAUCUUGGUGCGUCAUCCUGUAUAGAGCUAAAUUCCUUAUCUUAGAGAUGCAUGCAUUCUCUAAGAACAAAAUUCAUGUAUUCAUCAGUAUUUGCUAUGGGAGUAUUGCGUCCAAGUUGGUACGAUUCAAAAGCUACAUCUUGAUGCGUCAUCAUGUAUGAAUCAUUUGUCUGGUCAUUGCCCAGGAUAGAAAAUCAUAAGAUUAGUAGAGCAUAACAAUGUAGGUAUUGUAGUAGACGUAGGAUCGACAAAAGUAAUUUGCAGGUUUUUAGUGUUUUGAGUACCAUGUUCAACAGAGCCUCUCUUAUCAUUAUCCGGCGUAUUUUUCAAGUUGAUUUGAGCCAGUAAAAGGCUGCAUACCUGAACAAAGGAAAGAGAACCCGAAUGUACGGUCAAAUAAACAUUGUCGACACAGUUGCAACAUAAUUAAGGUCCUGUUCGGUACCACUCCGCUCCACAACUCCAGGAGCGGAGUUGGCGGAGCUGCAGUUCAAAACGACCGAGCUGCACUUCCCCCGCUCCGCAGAUUCCGGGAGCGGGCGACUACCGAACAGGGCCUAAAUCGACGAACUAACCAUCUUCAAUUGUGCAACAUGGGUCACGUAUUCUGCUGAGUUGGGGUACCUUAACCCCUGAAAUUUGGACGUUAGGCCCUGCAUUCAUCAUUUUUCAACAUAGAAAACCUUUAAUGAGAUGUGAAACGAACGGCUUAUAGCAUUCUGCUGUGCAACUAUUUAUUUUUUAGAACUCUGUUGUCAAAAUUCUAAUCCUGACUAAUGUUGCAACAGGUCAAAGAAGUCGAACCUGAAGAAGUGCAGGGAAGAAUUAUGGUUGCGUGUGGCUGGCUGGUUCAGGGGAAUUUCAGGGCGGGCGCGGCGGCACGGGUGCCGGAGCAGGCUCCUAGGCACUGGCGAUCUGUCGGACGGAUAUUAGAAACGAAGGUGAGGUUGUAUCUUGUUAGGUGGGUCUUCAUUGGUCGUCGAAAUCAUACCUGGCCAAUCUGAUGGGGCUGCCUACUGCUCCAGAACUCAUGCAGAUGAUGCAUAAUAAUCUUGUUGUAGCCUGGCCGAUCCGUGAAUAUUUGAUUGUAGGUGAAGGAGGAGCGGCCGCCCACUCGACGGUGCGGUGUAGGGCGGCGAGGGAGGCCGGCAGGGAGGCCUCAAUGCGGUGCAGGACGGCGAGGGAACCGUCCAGCGAGGCGACGAUGCGAUGCAGGGGUCCAGGCCGCCGUGCAGGGAGGCGACAUGACUGCUGAGCUUCGUCUGGGGCGGUGGCGAGGAAAGGCAGGGAGUGGGGCCAGGGACACGAUUAGGUUCGAUUUCCUUUUUUUGCGAGUUGGUUAGAUGGUUAGAUUAGCGUGAUUUGAGGGGCUGCGGAUGCGGGACGGAGAGUUUCAUAUUUUCCUCUUGUGGAGUAUGGUCAGUCUAUUGAAACUGCUAAGCGCACACCAGAUCUUGAAUAAAUUAAUGAUGACUGUUGGAUUGGGUCGUGUGGGCUUCAUCCUGUGGUGCUGAUGUGUCUGUUUACGUUUUGCGGGGUGCACGUAACAAAGUUCUUGUUUGAUUGUUUAAUAGUAGUGAAGAUUAAUAGUAGUGAAGAUGAAGAAAACCGUGUCUGAUUUCUUUUCUCUUCUUACAUGGCUAUAAUUUAUUUUUAGAAGAUUAUAGGGGGCUUCGGGCUUCCCAGAAGAAAGAAGGGUGGUCUGAGUUGUGCGGAGGCACGUAGUCGAUGGUAAAAGAACACCCGCAAAAAAAAAACCCGUCAAAGCCCAGCCCAAAUUGAGGGAGAGGGAGAGACCGACUACGUAUCAUGUUGGGCCUUAUGGGUUAUAAAAGUGCCCUCACGCGGGAGAGACUCACCCCACGCGGCCACGCCACUCUUUCUCGUAGGCCCGCCCUACCCCAAGUCCCCAACCCCGACCUCGCGAUGGCCGGCGACGGCGAUUCCGACACAUACCUGAAGCGCAUCCAGGCGGAGACCCUCCGUAACGAGCACAAGCGCGUGUGUAUUGACCAAGAGUUCCACAGUCCCGCCGGCUCUCCAGCGUCCUCUUCGCCUGAAACCGGAUAAGAUCACCCCCACCUCCCUGCCAUUGCUUAUUGCCUUGAAGAAAUAACCUUUUUUUUUAAGGUGCAAAGACACAAAUUUUGUCGAGAGCUGCAAACGCAACCGCUGUUUCCUUUUAGUUUGUGAACUAGUAGUUCAGUUAACAGCGAGAUAGCACGCUCAAGCGUGAAGUUUAAGUGUGCCUGAAGCUUAAGUGUGUCCAUGGGAAAACAAGUACUACUCCCUAUGUAAAGUUGUAAACUAAUAUAAGAUCUUUUACUCCCUCUGUAAACUAGUAUAAGAUCUUCUAGAUCCCUCUGUAAACUAAUGUAAGAUCUUUUAGAUCACUACUUUAGUGAUCUACUCCAGAUAUUGUAUUAUACAGUAUUAAUUUACAGAGGGGGUACUUAUUGGGGCUACUAGUAUGGAUCUGUCUAAGUUUGAGCUGAAUGACACACCUCAUAUGCUUGAAUCAGCCGACAUGUAUGCCCAUCUUCAGUUUGCCCUUCCUUUAUAAAUUAACACUGUAUUUUGUAUGCUGAAAUGAUGGGCACUUGUUAUAACCCAUAUGGCUGAACUAACCACAAUAGUCACUGACACAGUAUCAUUUUGUCUAGGGUUGAGGAGCAUGCCGGCAAGGUGAGCAGCAGUGAGCUUGGGUGUACAAGCACGGAUCUGGCUAAUUUUGAGACCCUGACGCUGAACGAUACACCUCACACACUUGAAUCAGCCGACAGGUGUUUCCAUCUUUAUUUUGUCCUUACUUUUAUUAGUUUGGUUUGUUCAAAUGUUGGGAAAUUGUUAUGACAUAUAUCGUUGAACUAAUGGGUAUUUAUUAUGACCGAUACGGUUGAACCAAUUGUACUACUUGUUAUGACCUAUAUGGUGGAUGCGGGGUAAAUUCUGUUUAAUGAUGAGACCUACUCAUUUUUUUUCUGUUCAAGCCAACCUGCAGGACCUUUAGCUUUCCCUGUUUUUGAUUAAUCAAUACAAUUAAUUGGAAAAAUCUUGUUGGUAAUUUACAGUAGGCGGCACAGGUGGAAAAAUGUCGCAAGUGAUAUAGCCAUUGGUCAUUUUGCAAAAAGUUAGGAGUGGAUUCUGACUGCCUUCGUGUGUGUGUGUGUGUGUGUGUGUGUGUGUGUGUUCUAAACAUGCUCCAUUAAAUGUAUAUCUCAUGGUUAAGAUUGAUUAUAGAUUUAUUUGUUUCCAUAAGACUUCCGAGCCUCCACAGCCAUAGAAGUUGACUAAAGCAUGGAUGUAAAUUGUUUGACCUAGGGUGGUAAUGCAUGCUGACGCAGUCGAUGGUGCCAUUCUUGAUUCCACACUUGCGGAGCCACCAGCGCACGAGAAAGAAAAACCAAGGUAAGGACUCCCCAAACAUGUUUUAAAUGAUGUAUACUGAUUUUCAGAAAGCACUCGUGUUGUUACGUUUCUUUAGGUUAACACAAUAGCUUUAUGUAUUGGAGCUAUGAAUUGUCUUUCAUAGGUCAUAAUGGAAAGUAGCAUAGUUGCUAUGCCUAGUGAACCCCACGUCAUCUAUAUUUCUAGAACCAGGUUUUAGUAUCACACCCAUACCCAGGUACUGUAAUCAAUGGUGCAUAGUGAAUAAAGCAAGGUUCAUUACAGCUUAAAACAAGUUCAAUUAAGCUGAGAAUCCAUUUAUCACAACUUGUCCCUUGUUGUAUCAUUACAUGAACUUCGUCCUACAUCUAUGUAUCGGACCCUGGGAUCAAGAUUAUAUAAAUCUAGUUGUAGACAAUCAUAUGAAAAGCCUCACUCGAUGCAACUGAGUUGGAGUGUCAUCGCUUGGCAUAGCAUGAUAAAUCCCGAGCUCUUACCGCAUGAGUCGCUCGAUGGAGCUGAGCUUGAGCGUUAUUGCUUUGCCUUAAACGGGAUCAGAGAAACGUCUAAAUAAUUACCCGUAGCAAAGAGUGGGUCUUACACUAGUUAUUAACCAUUUUUGUUGACUGUACUCUGAUGUUUCUAUCUAGGCGGGAGAUACCACGAAAAUAUUGGCCACCCAAAUAUGAAGGUGAUAUAAAAUUUGCAGAAGAACAAGCUCGAAAACAAGCUGAAUCAAUUCAAGAACGAGGACAUUAUACUUCUUCUAAGGAAGAACUUGCUCAAAAUGCGAAUAGAUGGAUGACCGAGGAGGCGAUGGUGGCUUUCAGAAAAUACAUCGAGAGUGAAGAUGAUCUUAAGGUUCCCAUGUCUGUUCUAAAUCUUUAAUUGUUUGGACUGUAGAGACCUAUCACUAACACUUCUUUCAUCUUAGGGAGUUGAGUAUGAAUUUGAUGAACUUCUCCAUCAAUGUUUUAAUGUGGAGCAUUAUUUAAAGACAUGUCAUCACUUCACCUUUACUGUCAAGAUAAAGAAGCAUGGCUCAGCCGAUUGGACAUCAGUGAUGUACUUCACUGAGGUCCGCGGAAUAUUUAUGAUAAAGGAUUAUUUCUGUUAUCCUUUAGACCCGGAUGAAAAUGGUAUCAGAAAUUUCACCUUGUGAAUUCUAGUGAUCUAAAAAGAUUCUAAUCUUGUGGCUUAUUUUGUUAGGUCAAUGUUAUGCAUGUCAGAACCAAGGAAUGCAUGAGUUAAGGCACCCAUCAGUAGGGAUAUUUGACUGCGGCAAGGAAGAUGCAUCAUUUCCCUACUAUUGUGAGGAAAGUGACUCUGAUGAAUAUCAUCCAAAAAUGGAAUGGAGUGAAUCUGAUGAUGAUAUGAGUUGAUGGCAUUGUCCAUCAUUCUUGUAGGAGUGUAAGUUUACUUUAGCCCUUCUAUUCUCAUAUCCUCUUGAUCUGUUGACUCAAGUCAAGUUGCUAGUUGAUUUGACAAUCGCAGUGUAUAAUCGACUACAGGCAUCCGAAAAAUGGUCACUUGCCGCACAGCAAUGGUUUAUCAGGGUUCACCCCUAGCUCCAGCAGUAUCAUCCAUGGCUGGCUGGGACCUUUUUUAUUUUGGGGUUCUAUGUAGAGAGACUGGCUGGACAUGGGAUGUGCUAUUAUGUAUUGUUGGUUAUAAUGCCACACUGGUGUUUGCUCUGAUGCAGCCGGUUUGUUUAAGUUCUUGGUUUCGCACCUGGUGAACUGUAAGUUUGCAUGUACUUUUUUUUGAGUUGGUGUUUUCAUGUACUUGGAAGUUGGAACUGAUGAACAUCAUCUGACUCAGACACCUGAACUGUGUUGUCCUUUUGUGAUGAUUUCUCUUUAUCUGAAGUUGCUGAUGCACUUGAACUGAAAGAUAUCUUGCUAGUAACGGUAUUGAUGUGGUGCCACCUGAAAUAUUUCCUUAUCUUCAAUCUGUGCUAGUGCCUUCACAUGACCUUCCAGGGCGUGAAGCAGAGAGACAAUAUAAGAGGGGAGACGCUUUAAUCACACCGACUGAUUUUAGCGUAGCAACAACCGACUCGUGUUUGAUUAUCACGGAGCACCUUCUUCCGCUUCCUAUUAAACCAAAAUCUAGACAGGAAAUAAGUGCUUAUUGCUGUUACCUUUGGUGGAUUAGGCAUCAGAUUACUCAUAAGUCCAAUAAAUGAUGUAGAUGCAAAAAUAACUAACUUUUGCAUAUCUGAGGCUCAAAAACCCCUCUUCAACAGAUGAUGUAUAUGCAAAAAAUAAUUCAUCUCUGUCUUCCGGAGAUGUAAAAUACAACAUCUCACAGUGCAAAUUUGCAUCUCCACAUACAGGAGAUGUAAAAGCGGCGGUCGCGCGCCAACCGCCCAACUACCUUCAUUUGGCUUCCGCACGACUGUCGGCCGCCGCCGCCAUGGCUGACGCCGAUGACCCCACCCGCCAGCCGCUUGUCUGACCCACCUUGCCACAACGACCGUCGGCGCGACCACGGUCCCCAAUUUGGCCUCUGCCUCCAUGCCGCCACCCCGGAUUUGCCCCCACCUCGGCCGGUUGUCGUCGCGCCGGAGCUGCCUGCGAAGAAGCAACGGGGCGCCAAGCCACACGGUGGAGGCGUGAAAUGACAGAUGGCGCGGGGGCGCAACCCAACGGUGAACCAACCUCGGCUGGCCAAAAUUUCGAAGCCGGACGCGGCUGCUGCGGGCAAUAUGCUGCUGCCGGCGGCCGUGGCUUCUUCCUUUGGCCAAAGAGGCCCUUCUCCACCUCCGCCGCUGCCCCUACGUCGUUCAUCCUCCUCUUUCCGCCUCGAAUCGCCCCUGUUCCAUCGCCCUAAUUCGUGUCGUCGCCCCGAUUCGCCACCCCCACCGCCUCGCCGCCGCCGGCCCGAAUCACGCCAUGCCGCCACCGUCCCCACUGCCGUCGCCCCGAUUUGACCGCCGCCCACUAGUUUUUACAUCUCCAUUUUGCAUCACCUAUUGAAGUUGCACUUUACAUAUCUGUUUUACAUCAUCUGUUGCAGUUGACCCUUUUUUUAGAUGCAAAAAACACUUUUUGAUGAUGUAAAUUUUUACAUUCGUGUUUUACAUCUCUAAAUUGCUCUAAUGAUAUUUCCACUCCUGAAUGUCCAGCAGUUAGAGCAUCUACAGCCGGACUUGGCAAAUCCGACCCCCCUAUACGUUCGUAGACGCGCCGGGGUACGCUCGUGGGCGCAUCUGGAUGGGCCUCAUAUUUCCGUCCCGGCAUCCACAUAUCUCAAAUCCGGACUCUCAAAUACAUGCAUGUCGAUCAUACAAGCCAAUGUCGCACAUAAAUAGCAAAUAUUGGUACAAAGCAUAGAUAGUGUUUACAUAAAUUUAUUUUAAAUUCCAAACUCAAGCAUUGGCUCCUUGUUGCCAUUGUGGGUCUACAUGUGCUCCACAAGAUCAUUGAGUAGUUGUGUGUGCACCUGCUGAUCUCGAAGAUGUUGAUGCUGAAGGAAAUAUGCCCUAGAGGCAAUAAUAAAGUUAUUAUUUAUUUCCUCAUAUCAUGGUAAAUGUUUAUUAUUCAUGCUAGAAUUGUAUUAACCGGAAACAUAAUACAUGUGUGAAUACAUAGACAAACAUAGUGUCACUAGUAUGCCUCUACUUGACUAGCUCAUUGAUCAAAGAUGAUUGAGUUUCCUAACCAUGGAUAUGAGUUAUCAUUUGAUCAGUGGGAUCACAUCAUUAGGAGAAUGAUGUGAUUGACUUGACCCAUUUCGUUAGCUUAGCACUUGAUCGUUUAGUAUGUUGCUAUUGCUUUCUUCAUGACUUAUACAUGUUCCUAUGACUAUGGGAUUAUGCAACUCCCGCUUACCGGAGGAACACUUUGUGUGCUACCAAACGUUACAACGUAACUAGGUGAUUAUAAAGGUGCUCUACAGGUGUCUCCGAAGGUACUUGUUGAGUUGACGUAUUUCGAGAUUAGGAUUUGUCACUCCGAUUGUCGGAGAGGUAUCUCUGGGCCCUCUCGGUAAUGGACAUCACUAUAAGCCUUGCAAGCAAUGUAGCUAACGAGUUAGUUACAGGAUGAUGCAUUAUGUAACGAGUAAAGAGACUUGCCGGUAACGAGAUUGAACUAGGUUUUGAGAUACCGACGAUCGAAUCUCGGGCAAGUAACAUACCGAUGACAAAGGGAACAACGUAUGUUGUUAUGCGGUUUGACCGAUAAAGAUCUUCGUAGAAUAUGUGGGAGCCAAUAUGAGCAUCCAGGUUCCGCUAUUGGUUAUUGACCGGAGACGUGUCUUGGUCAUGUCUACAUAGUUCUCGAACCCGCAGGGUCCGCACGCUUAAAGUUAGAUGAUGGUUAUAUUAUGAGUUUAUGUGUUUUAAUGUACCGAAGGUAGUUCGGAGUCCCGGAUGUGAUCACGGACAUGACGAGGAGUCUCGAAAUGGUCGAGACAUAAAGAUUGAUAUAUUGUACGACUAUGUUCGGACACCGGAAUGGUUUCGAGGAGUAUCGGGCAUAUAGCGGAGUACCGGGGGGUUACCGGAACCCCUCGGGGAGACUAAUGGGCCUAUUGGGCCCUAGUGGAGAAGAGGAGGGGCGGCCAAGGGCAGCCACGCGCCCCCUUCCCCCCAAUCUAAAUUGGACAAGGAGGGGGGCGGCGCCCCCCUUUCCUUUCCCCCUCUCUCUCCUUCCCUCUCCUCUCCUACUCCCACUUGGAAGGGGGGAGUCCUACUCCCAGUGGGAGUAGGACUCCUCAUGGGGCGCCCCUAGGGUGGCCGGCCCCCUCCCCCUCCUCCACUCCUUUAUAUACGGGGAGGGAGGCACCCCUUGGAGACACAACAAUUGAUCCAUUGGAUCUCUUAGCCGUGUGCGGUGCCCCCUCCACCAUAAUCCACCUCGAUAAUUUCGUAGUGGUGCUUAGGUGAAGCCCUGCGUCGGUAGAACAUCAUCAUCAUCACCAUGCCGUCGUGCUGAUGGAACUCUCCCUCAAAACUCGGCUGAAUUGGAGUUCGAGGGACGUCAUCGAGAUGAACGUGUGCUGAACUCGGAGGUGUCGUAUGUUCGGUACUUGAUCGGUCGGAUCGUGAAGACGUAUGACUACAUCAACCGCAUUGUGUUAACGCUUCCGCUUUCGGUGUACGAGGGUACGUGGACAACACUCUCCCCUCUCGUUGCUAUGCAUCACCAUGAUCUUGUGUGUGUAGGAUUUUUUUUGAAAUUACUACGUUCCACAACAAAUGCAUCUGCAGAAAAUUCAUCAGUUGAGCCGCAUCUUGAUCUUCCGGGAUUUCAACUUGUUCUCCAGGUGCUUCGAAAUCAUGGGUUUGGGCUACACCAUCACCCUCAUCCUCGACAAUCAUAUUCUGCAGAAUAAAUACAACAUGUCAUUAGCUGCCAUAAAGUUUUUGAUUCCCACAUCAUUGCAGUGCUCGGCACAAUUCCCCAAUGAGCCUGAAGCACACCGAAUGUCCUCUCCACAUCCUUCCUAGCCGCUUCCUGCAUUGUUGCAAAGUGGCUCUGUUUAUUACCAUGCGGUUCGGAUACGGUCUUCACAAACGCUGCCCACUGAGAAUAGAUACCAUUGGCAAGCUUGUAUCCCAUGUUGUACUCUCGACCAUUGACGAUGUAGUUGCACGGCGGUGAUUCCCCAUUGAAAAGCCUCCUAAACACUGGAGAUCAUUGAAGCACGUUGAUGUCGUUGUGAGAACCCGACAUUCCAAAGAAAUUAUGCCAAAUUCAUAAGUCAUGUGAUGCCACCGCUUCUAGUAUGAUGGUGGCCUCUCUGGUGUGACCAUGAUACAUUCCCCGCAAACCUUUGGGGCAGUUCUUCCAUUGACAAUGCAUGCAAUCAAUUGAUCCGAGCAUUCCUGGAAACCCCCUUGCCUCUCCAAUAGCCAACAACUUCUCCGUGUCCUGCGCAUUUGGGUCUCUGAGAUACUCAGGUCCAAACACCUCCACCAUGGUGCGGGCAAACUUGACAGUAGUCUUCAAGCACGUGCUCUUCCCCAUCCUGACCAUCUCAAGAAUGGCAAGUGUAAGCAUCCUCAGAGCAGUUGUGCACUUCUGCUUGGCCGAGAAAGAGAGUUGGCCGCAGCAAUCCCUUGUGAGCUUGAAGUAGUCGUCGUGUGCCUCCACUCCCUUCAUAAUGUGCAAAAAAAUGGUUUCCGCAUGCGAAAACGGUGAUGAAACCAUGGAUCAUCCGGGAAACUAGGUUUGGGAGAAAAGUAGUCCUUGCGGUGUAGCUUGCUCCGGACACCCUGUCCCGGUUAAUCACUCUUCUCCCUUUGAUUGAGCCCUUGAAGUUGAGAAUAUGCUCCACUUGCCAGUUCAUUUCCUCUUGCAUGCUCAUGAGCAUGAUCAUGUCCACUUAUUCGUUUGAAUUUGACGAAUCGAAGAACUCAUCUUGAAUCUGGUCACCUCCGUCGGUCCAUACUCCUUGUCUGACGAAGCAUUGGAAUCCAUUGUUUUCCCUAACAAAAUCACAAAAAUCUGGUCGGACAAUGUGUUAAACACAUCAAGCGCAAUGCGGAGCCAGAGAGUUACCGGACUUACCAUGGCAUCGUCCGGGCCGGCGACGACGUCCCCUGCAGCAAGGACGGGAGGGCUCCUACGGAGCUGGCAACGAAGAGCCUGGGAAUGGCUGCAGAACGGGGGCGACGACGGAGCGCGAGACGGACGACGCGGGGAAGGAAGAAGACAGGAGAUAACAAAUGGAUCCGGCUGGUCUUGGGAUGGAUUUGGUGCAAUUUAAGGUGGGGUCGGGCUGUUGGGUUCGACGUGGCGGGCGCGUCCAUAUCCGCCCCAUAUUUGGGCUGAUAUGAUGGAUGCUGAUACGUCUCUAUCGUAUCUACUUUUCCAAACACUUUUGCCCUUAUUUUGGACUCUAACUUGCAUGAUUGGAAUGGAACUAACCCGGACUGACGUUGUUUUUAGCAGAACUGCCAUAGUGUUAUUUUUGUGUAGAAAUAAAAGUUCUCGGAAUGACCUGAAAAUCCACGGAGCAACUUUUUGGAAUUAAUAAAAAAUAUUGGCGAAAGAAUCAACAUCAGGGGGCCCACACCCUGUCCACGAGGGUGGGGGCGCCCCCUAUGGCGCGCCCCCUGCCUCGUGCCCCCCCCUGAAGCUCCACCGACCUCAACUCCAACUCCAUAUAUUCACAUUCGGGGAGAAAAAAAUCAGAGAGAAAGAUUUAUCGCGUUUUACGAUACGGAGCCGCCGCCAAGUCCUAAACUCUCUCGGGAGGGUUGAUCUGGAGUCCGUUCAGGGCUCCGGAGAGGGGGAUUCGUCGCUGUCGUCAUCAUCAACCAUCCUCCAUCACCAAUUUGAUGAUGCUCAGCGCCGUGCGUGAGUAAUUCCAUCGUAGGCUUGCUGGACGGUGAUGGGUUGGAUGAGAUUUACCAUGUAAUUAAGUUAGUUUUGUUAGGGUUUGAUCCCUAGUAUCCACUAUGUUCUGAGAUUGAUGUUGCUAUGACUUUGCUAUGCUUAAUGCUUGUCACUAGGGCCCGAGUGCCAUGAUUUCAGACCUGAACCUAUUAUGUUUUCAUGAAUAUAUGUGAGUUCUUGAUCCUAUCUUGCAAGUCUAUAGUCACCUAUUAUGUGUUAUGAUCCGUUAACCCCGAAGUGACAAUAAUCGGGAUACUUAUCGGUGAUGACCGUAGUUUGAGGAGUUCAUGUAUUCACUAAGUGUUAAUGCUUUGAUCCGGUACUCUAUUAAAAGGAGGCCUUAAUAUCCCUUAGUUUCCAAUAGGACCCCGCUGCCACGGGAGGGCAGGACAAAAGAUGUCAUGCAAGUUCUUUUCCAUAAGCACGUAUUGUUGGGGAACGUUGCAGAAAACAAAAAUUUUCCUACUCGUUUCACCAAGAUCAUCUAGGAGUUCAUCUAGCAACGAGUGAUUAGAUGCAUCUACAUACCUUUGUAGAUCGCGAGCGGAAGCGUUCAAAAGAACGGUGAUGAUGUAGUCGUACUCGACGUGAUCCAAAUCACCGAUGACCAGCGCCGAACGGACAGCACCUCCGCGUUCAACACACGUACGGAACAGCCACGUCUCCUCCUUCUUGAUCCAGCAAGGGAGGGAGGAGAGGUUGAGGGAGAUGGCACCAGCAGCAGCACGACGGCGUGGUGUUGAUGGAGCUGCAGUACUCCGGCAGAGCUUCGCUAAGCACUAUGGAGGUGGAGGAGGUGUUGGGGAGGGAGAAGGAGGCAACCAAAGGCCAGGGCGUUCAGGUAUGAAGUCCCUCCUCUCCCCCACUAUAUAUAGGGGUGCCAAGGGGGGGUGGCCGGCCCUAGGAGAUCCAAUCUCCUAGGGGGUGCGGCGGCCUAGGGGGGUUUCCCCCCUCCCCCCCAAGGCACCUAGGAGGUGCCUUCCCCUCCUAGGACUCUUCCCCCUCUAAACCCUAGGCGCAUGGGCCUAUGUGGGGCUGGUGCCCUUGGCCCAUUAGGCCAAGGCGCACCCCCUUACAGCCCAUGUGGCCCCCUGGGACAGGUGGACCCACCCGGUGGACCCCCGGGACCCUUCCGGUGGUCCCGGUACAAUACCGAUAACCCCGAAACUUGUCCCGAUGCCCGAAACAGGACUUCCCAUAUAUAAAUCUUUACCUCCGGACCAUUUCGGAACUCCUCGUGACGUCCGGGAUCUCAUCCGGGACUCCGAACAACAUUCGGGUUACUGCAUAUACAUAUCCCUACAACCCUAGCGUAACUGAACCUUAAGUGUGUAGACCCUACGGGUUCGGGAGACAAGCAGACAUGACCGAGACGACUCUCCGGUCAAUAACCAACAGCGGGAUCUGGAUACCCAUGUUGGAUCCCACAUGCUCCACGAUGAUCUCAUCGGAUGAACCACGAUGUCGAUGAUUCUAUCAACCUCGUACGCUAUUCCCUUUGUCUAUCGAUAUGUUACUUGCCCGAGAUUCGAUCGUCGGUAUCCCAAUACCUCGUUCAAUCUCGUUACCGGCAAGUCACUUUACUUGUACCGUAAUGCAUGAUCCCGUGACCAGACACUUGGUCACUCUGAGCUCAUUAUGAUGAUGCAUUACCGAGUGGGCCCAGUGAUACCUCUCCGUCAUACGGAGUGACAAAUCCCAGUCUUGAUCCAUGUCACCCAACAGACACUUUCGGAGAUACCCGUAGUCUACCUUUAUAGUCACCCAGUUACAUUGUGACGUUUGGCAUACCCAAAGCACUCCUACGGUAUCCGGGAGUUACACGAUCUCAUGGUCUAAGGAAAAGAUACUUGACAUUGGAAAACUCUAGCAAACGAACUAUACGAUCUUGUGCUAUGUUUAGGAUUGGGUCUUGUCCAUCACAUCAUUCUCCUAAUGAUGUGAUCUCGUUAUCAAUGACAUCCAGUGUCCAUAGUCAGGAAACCAUGACUAUCUGUUGAUCAACGAGCUAGUCAACUAGAGGCUCACUACGGACAUGUCGGUGUCUGUUAUUCACACAUGUAUUACGAUUUCCGGAUAACACAAUUAUAGCAUGAAUAAAGACAAUUAUCAUGAACAAGGAAAUAUAAUAAUAAUGCUUUUAUUAUUGCCUCUAGGGCAUAUUUCCAACAGUCUCCCACUUGCACUAGAGUCAAUAAUCUAGUUACAUUGUGAUGAAUCGAACACCCAUGGAAUUCUGGUGUUGAUCAUGUUUUGCUCUAGGGAGAGGUUUAGUCAACGGAUCUGCUACAUUCAGGUCCGUAUGCACUUUACAAAUCUCUAUGUCUCCAUCUUGAACAUUUUCACGAAUGGAGUUGAAGCGACGCUUGAUGUGCCUUGUCUUCUUGUGAAACCUGGGCUCCUUGGCAAGUGCAAUAGCGCCAGUGUUGUCACAGAAGAUCUUGAUCGGCCCCGACACAUUGGGUAUGACUCCUAGGUUGGUGAUGAACUCCUUCACCCAUAUUGCUUCAUGUGCUGCCUCCGAGGCUGCCAUGUACUCCGCUUCACAUGUAGAUCCCGCCACGACGCUUUGCUUGCAACUACACCAGCUUACUGCCCCACCAUUCAAAAUAUACACGUAUCCGGUUUGUGACUUAGAGUCAUCGAGAUCUGUGUCGAAGCUAGCGUCGACGUAACCCUUUACGACGAGCUCUUCGUCACCUCCAUAAAUGAGAAACAUUUCCUUAGUCCUUUUCAGGUACUUCAGGAUAUUCUUGACCGCUGUCCAGUGUUCCUUGCCGGGAUUACUUUGGUACCUUCCUACCAAACUUACGGCAAGGUUAACAUCAGGUCUGGUACACAUCAUGGCAUACAUAAUAGAGCCUAUGGCUGAGGCAUAGGGGAUGACGCUCAUCUCUUCUAUAUCUUCUGCCGUGGUCGGACAUUGAGCUGAGCUCAAUUUCAUACCUUGCAACACAGGCAAGAACCCCUUCUUGGAUUGAUCCAUAUUGAACUUCUUCAAUAUCUUAUCAAGGUAUGUGAUUUGUGAAAGACCUAUGAGGCGUCUUGAUCUAUCUCUAUAGAUUUUGAUGCCUAAUAUAUAAGCAGCUUCUCCAAGGUCCUUCAUUGAAAAACUUUUAUUCAAGUAGGCCUUGAUGCUGUCCAAGAGUUCUAUAUCAUUUCCCAUCAAAAGUAUGUCAUCUACAUAUAAUAUGAGAAAUGCUACAGAGCUCCCACUCACUUUCUUGUAAACGCAGGCUUCUCCAUAAGUCUGUGUAAACCCAAACGCUUUGAUCAUCUCAUCAAAGCGAAUGUUCCAACUCCGAGAUGCUUGCACCAGCCCAUAAAUCGAGCGUUGGAGCUUGCACACUUUGUCAGCAUUCUUAGGAUCGACAAAAUCUUCCGGCUGCAUCAUAUACAAUUCUUCCUUAAGGAAACCAUUAAGGAAUGCCGUUUUGACGUCCAUUUGCCAUAUUUCGUAAUCAUAGAAUGCGGCAAUUGCUAACAUGAUUCGGACGGACUUCAGCUUCGCUACCGGUGAGAAAGUCUCAUCGUAGUCAACCCCUUGAACUUGUCGAUAACCCUUAGCGACAAGCCGAGCUUUAUAGAUGGUCACAUUACCAUCCGCGUCUGUCUUCUUCUUAAAGAUCCAUUUAUUUUCUAUGGCUCGCCGCUCAACGGGCAAGUCAGUCAAAGUCCAUACUUUGUUUUCAUACAUGGAUCCUAUCUCGGAUUUCAUGGCUUCUAGCCAUUUGUCGGAAUCCGGUCCCGCCAUCGCUUCUUCAUAGUUCGAAGGUUCGCCGCUGUCUAACAACAUGAUUUCCAAGACAGGGUUGCCGUACCACUCUGGUGCGGAACGUGUCCUUGUGGACCUUCGAAUUUCAGUAGGAGCUUGAUCAGAAGUAUCUUGAUCAUUAUCAUUAACUUCCUCUCUAGUCGGUGCUGGCACCUCAGGAACAUUUUCUUGAGUUGCGCCAUUUUCCGGUUCAAGAGGUGAUACUUCAUCAAGCUCUACUUUCCUCCCACUUACUUCUUUCGAGAGAAACUCUUUCUCCAGAAAGGACCCAUUCUUGGCAACAAAGAUCUUGCCUUCGGAUCUGAGGUAGAAGGUGUACCCAAUAGUUUCUUUUGGGUAUCCUAUGAAGACGCAUUUUUCCGAUUUGGGUUCGAGCUUUUCAGGUUGUAGUUUCUUGACAUAAGCAUCGCAUCCCCAAACUUUUAGAAACGACAGCUUAGGUUUCUUCCCAAACCAUAAUUCAUACGGUGUCGUCUCAACGGAUUUCGACGGAGCCCUAUUUAAAGUGAAUGCGGCAGUCUCUAAAGCAUAGCCCCAAAAAGAAAGUGGUAAAUCGGUAAGAGACAUCAUAGAUCGCACCAUAUCUAACAGAGUGCGAUUACGACGUUCGGACACACCAUUACGCUGAGGUGUUCCAGGCGGCGUGAGUUGUGAAACUAUUCCACAUUUUCUUAAGUGUGCCCCAAACUCGUGACUCAAGUAUUCUCCUCCACGAUCUGAUCGCAGAAACUUGAUUUUCUUGUCACGUUGAUUUUCAACCUCACUCUGAAAUUCCUUGAACUUUUCAAAGGUUUCAGACUUGUGUUUCAUUAAGUAGAUAUACCCAUACCUACUUAAAUCAUCAGUGAGGGUGAGAACAUAACGAUAGCCACCGCGAGCCUCAACACUCAUUGGACCGCACACAUCGGUAUGUAUGAUUUCCAAUAAGUCGGUUGCUCGCUCCAUUGUUCCUGAGAACGGAGUCUUGGUCAUUUUACCCACAAGGCAUGGUUCGCACGUGUCAAAUGAUUCAUAAUCGAGAGACUCUAAAAGUCCAUCAGCAUGGAGCUUCUCCAUGCGUUUGACACCUAUGUGACCAAGGCGGCAGUGCCACAGGUAUGUGGGACUAUCAUUAUCAACCUUACUUCUUUUGGUACUCACAUUAUGAAUAUGUGUAGCAUCACGUUCGAGAUUCAUAAGGAAUAAACCAUUCACCAUAGGAGCAUGACCAUAAAACAUAUCUCUCAUAAAAAUGGAACAACCAUUAUUCUCAGAUUUAAAAGAGUAGCCAUCUCGAAUUAAACGAGAUCCCGAUACAAUGUUCAUGCUCAAAGCUGGCACUAAAUAACAAUUAUUAAGGUUUAAAACUAAUCCCGAAGGGAGAUGCAGAGGUAGCGUGCCGACGGCGAUCACAUUGACCGUGGAACCAUUCCCGACGCGCAUCGUCACCUCGUCCUUUGCCAGUUUCCGCUUAUUCCGCAGCCCCUGCUUUGAGUUACAAAUGUGAGCAACUGCACCGGUAUCAAAUACCCAGGAGCCACUACGGGCACUAGUAAGGUACACAUCAAUUACAUGUAUAUCACAUAUACCUUUUGUUUUGCCGGCCUUCUUAUCCGCUAAGUACUUAGGGCAGUUCCGCUUCCAGUGACCGCUUCCCUUGCAAUAAAAGCACUCAGUCUCGGGCUUGGGUCCAUUCUUUGGCUUCUUCCCGGCAGCUUGCUUGCCGGGCGCGGCAACCUCCUUGCCGUCCUUCUUGAAGUUCUUUUUACCCUUGCCUUUCUUGAACUUAGUGGUUUUAUUGACCAUCAACACUUGAUGUUCCUUCCUGACUUCUACCUCUGCUGAUUUUAGCAUAGCAAAUACUUCAGGAAUGGUCUUUUCCAUCCCUUGCAUAUUGAAGUUCAUCACAAAGCUCUUGUAUCUUGGUGGAAGUGACUGGAGGAUUCUGUCAAUGACCGCAUCAUCCGGGAGAUUAACUCCCAGCUGAGUCAAGCGGUUAUGCAACCCAGACAUAGUGAGUAUGUGCUCACUGACAGAACUGUUUUCCUCCAUCUUACAGCUGAAGAAUUUGUCGGAGACUUCAUAUCUCUCGACCCGGGCAUGAGCUUGGAAAACCAUUUUCAGCUCUUCGAACAUCUCAUAUGCUCCAUGUCUCUCAAAACGCUUUUGGAGCCCCGGCUCUAGGCUGUAAAGCAUGCCGCACUGAACGAGGGAGUAGUCAUCGGAACGUGCCUGCCAAGCGUUCAUAACAUCUUGUUCUGCAGGGAGAACGGGUGCGUCACCAAGCGGCGCUUGUAGGACAUAAUCUUUCUUGGCAGCUAUGAGGAUGAUCCUCAGGUUCCGGACCCAGUCCGUAUAAUUGCUGCCAUCGCCUUUCAGCUUAGUUUUCUCUAGGAACGCGUUGAAGUUGAGGACUACGUUGGCCAUUUGAUCUACAAGACAUAUUGCAAAGAUUUUAGACUAAGUUCAUGAUAAUUAAGUUCAACUAAUCAAAUUAUUAGUGAACUCCCACUUAGAUUAGACAUCCCUCCAGUCAUCUAAGUAUUACAUGAUCCGAGUUAACUAGACCGUGUCCGAUCAUCACGUGAGACGGACUAGUCAACAUCGGUGAACAUCUUCAUGUUGAUCGUAUCUUCUAUACGACUCAUGCUCGACCUUUCGGUCUUCUGUGUUCCGAGGCCAUGUCUGUACAUGCUAGGCUCGUCAAGUCAACCUAAGUGUUUGCAUGUGUAAAUCUGUCUUACACCCGUUGUAUGUGAACGUCUGAAUAAAACACCCGAUCAUCACGUGGUGUUUUGAGACAGCGAACUGUCGCAACGGUGCACAGUUAGGGGGAACACUUCUUGAAAUUAUUGUGAGGGAUCAUCUUAUUUACUACCGUCGUUCUAAGUAAACAAGAUGCAAAACAUGAUAAACAUCACAUGCAAUCAAAUAAUAAACGUGACAUGAUAUGGCCAAUAUCACAUAGCUCCUUUGAUCUCCAUCUUGGGGCUCCAUGAUCAUCUUGUCACCGGCUUGACACCAUGAUCUCCAUCAUCAUGAUCUCCAUCAUCGUGUCUCCAUGAAGUUGCUCGCCAACUAUUACUUCUACUACUAUGGCUAACGCGUUUAGCAAUAAAGUAAAGUAAUUUACAUGGCGUUUCUCGAUGACACGCAGGUCAUUAAAAGAAUAAAGACAACUCCUAUGGCUCCUGCCGGUUGUCAUACUCAUCGACAUGCAAGUCGUGAAUCCUAUUACAAUAGCAUGAACAUCUCAUACAUCACAUAUAGAUCAUUCAUCAUGCAUCACAACUUUGGCCAUAUCAUAUCACAAACCACUUGCUGCAAAAACAAGUUAGACGUCCUCUAAUUGUUGUUGCAAGUUUUACGUGGCUGAAUUAGGGUUCUAGCAAGAACGUCUUCUUACCUACGUUAAAGCCACAACGUGAUUUGUCAACUUCUAUUUACCCUUCAUAAGGACCCUGUUCAUCGAUUCCGCUCCAACUAAAGUAGGAGAGACAGACACCCGCCAGCCACCUUAUGCAACUAGUGCAUGUUAGUCGGUGGAACCGGUCUCACGUAAGCGUACGUGUAAGGUUGGUCCGGGCCGCUUCAUCCCACAAUACCGCUGAAGCAAGAAAGGACUAGUAACGGCAAGAAAGUUGACAAAUCUACGCCCACAACAAAUUGUGUUCUACUCGCGCAAGAAGAACUACGCAUAGACCUAGCUCAUGAUGCCACUGUUGGGGAACGUUGCAGAAAACAAAAAUUUUCCUACUCGUUUCACCAAGAUCAUCUAGGAGUUCAUCUAGCAACGAGUCAUUGGAUGCAUCUACAUACCUUUGUAGAUCACGAGCGGAAGCGUUCAAAAGAACGGUGAUGAUGUAGUCGUACUCGACGUGAUCCAAAUCACCGAUGACCAGCGCCGAACGGACGGCACCUCCGCGUUCAACACACGUACGGGACGGGAGACGUCUCCUCCUUCUUGAUCCAGCAAGGGGGAAGGAGAGGUUGAUGAAGAUCCAGCAGCACGACGGCGUGGUGGUGGAUGCAGGGCGUCACAGCAGCAGGGCUUCGCCGAGACUACGAGGGAGAGACGUAACGGGGGGAGGUGGAGGCGCCAGGGGCUGGUGUAAAAUCCCUCCUCUCCCCCCCACUAUAUAUAGGGGUGCCAGGGGGGCGCCGGCCCUAGUAGAUGGCAUCUACUAGGGGGGGCGGCGGCCAAGGGGAGGUUUCCCUCCCCCCCAAGGCACCUAGGGGUGCCUUCCACCACAUGGACUCUUCCAUGGUGGAAACCCUAGGCGCAUGGGCCUAUAGGGGCUGGUGCCCUUGGCCCAUCUAGGCCAAGGCGCACCCCCUACAGCCCAUGUGCCCCCCCGGGACAGGUGGCCCCACCCGGUGGACCCCCGGGACCCUUCCGGUGGUCCCGGUACAAUACCGAUAACCCCGAAACUUGUCCCGAUGCCCGAAAUAGCACUUCCUAUAUAUAAUUCUUUACCUCCGGACCAUUCCGGAACUCCUCGUGACGUCCGGGAUCUCAUCCGGGACUCCGAACAACAUUCGGGUUUCUGCAUAUACAUAUCUUCAUAACCCUAGCGUCACCGAACAUUACGCUGAGGUGUUCCAGGCGGCGUGAGUUGUGAAACUAUUCCACAUUUUCUUAAGUGUGUGCCAAACUCGUGACUCAAGUAUUCUCCUCCACGAUCUAAUCGUAGAAACUUGAUUUUCCUGUCACGUUGAUUUUCAACCUCACUCUGAAAUUCCUUGAACUUUUCAAAGGUUUCAGACUUGUGUUUCAUUAAGUAGAUAUACCCAUACCUACUUAAAUCAUCAGUGAGGGUGAGAACAUAACGGUAGCCACCGCGAGCCUCAACACUCAUUGGACCGCACACAUCAGUAUGUAUGAUUUCCAAUAAGUCGGUUGCUCACUCCAUUGUUCCUGAGAACGGAGUCUUGGUCAUUUUACCCAUAAGGCAUGGUUCGCAUGUGUCAAAUGAUUCAUAAUCAAGAGACUCUAAAAGUCCAUCAGCAUGGAGCUUCUUCAUGCGUUUGACACCUAUGUGACCAAGGCGGCAGUGCCACAGGUAUGUGGGACUAUCAUUAUCAACCUUACUUCUUUUGGUACUUACAUUAUGAACAUGUGUAGCAUCACGUUCGAGAUUCAUAAAGAAUAAACCAUUCACCAUAGGAGCAUGACCAUAAAACAUAUCUCUCAUAAAAAUGGAACAACCAUUAUUCUCAGAUUUAAAAGAGUAGCCAUCUCGAAUUAAACGAGAUCCCGAUACAAUGUUCAUGCUCAAAGCUGGCACUAAAUAACAAUUAUUAAGGUUUAAAACUAAUCCCGAAGGGAGAUGCAGAGGUAGCGUGCCGACGGCGAUCACAUUGACCUUGGAACCAUUCCCGACGCGCAUCGUCACCUCGUCCUUUGCCAGUUUCCGCUUAUUCCGCAGCCCCUGCUUUGAGUUACAAAUGUGAGCAACUGCACCGGUAUCAAAUACCCAGGAGCUACUACGGGCACUAGUAAGGUACACAUCAAUCACAUGUAUAUCACAUAUACCUUUUGUUUUGCCGGCCUUCUUAUCCGCUAAGUACUUAGGGCAGUUCCGCUUCCAGUGACCGCUUCCCUUGCAAUAAAAGCACUCAGUCUCGGGCUUGGGUCCAUUCUUUGGCUUCUUCCCGGCAGCUUGCUUGCCGGGCGCGGCAACCUCCUUGCCGUCCUUCUUGAAGUUCUUUUUACCCUUGCCUUUCUUGAACUUAGUGGUUUUAUUGACCAUCAACACUUGAUGUUCCUUCCUGACUUCUACCUCUGCUGAUUUUAGCAUAGCAAAUACUUCAGGAAUGGUCUUUUCCAUCCCCUGCAUAUUGAAGUUCAUCACAAAGCUCUUGUAGCUUGGUGGAAGCGACUGGAGGAUUCUGUCAAUGACCGCAUCAUCCGGGAGAUUAACUCCCAGCUGAGUCAAGCGGUUAUGCAACCCAGACAUAGUGAGUAUGUGCUCACUGACAGAACUGUUUUCCUCCAUCUUACAGCUGAAGAAUUUGUCGGAGACUUCAUAUCUCUCGACCCGGGCAUGAGCUUGGAAAACCAUUUUCAGCUCUUCGAACAUCUCAUAUUCUCCAUGUCUCUCAAAACGCUUUUGGAGCCCCGGCUCUAGGCUGUAAAGCAUGCCGCACUGAACGAGGGAGUAGUCAUCGAAACGUGCCUGCCAAGCGUUCAUAACAUCUUGUUCUGCAGGGAGAACGGGUGCGUCACCAAGCAGUGCUUGUAGGACAUAAUCUUUCUUGGCAGCUAUGAGGAUGAUCCUCAGGUUCCGGACCCAGUCCGUAUAGUUGCUGCCAUCGUCUUUCAGCUUGGUUUUCUCUAGGAACGCGUUGAAGUUGAGGACUACGUUGGCCAUUUAAUCUACAAGACAUAUUGUAAAAUAUUUAGACUAAGUUCAUGAUAAUUAAGUUCAAUUAAUCAAAUUAUUAAUGAACUCCCACUUAGAUUAGACAUCCCUCUAGUCAUCUAAGUAUUACAUGAUCCGAGUUAAACUAGACCGUGUCCGAUCAUCACGUGAGACAGACUAGUCAACAUCGGUGAACAUCUUCAUGUUGAUCGUAUCUUCUAUACGACUCAUGCUCGACCUUUCGGUCUUCCGUGUUCCGAGGCCAUGUCUGUACAUGCUAGGCUCGUCAAGUCAACCUAAGUGUUUGCAUGUGUAAAUCUGUCUUACACCCGUUGUAUGUGAACGUCUGAAUAAAACACCCGGUCAUCACGUGGUGUUUUGAAACAGCGAACUGUCGCAACGGUGCACAGUUAGGGGGAACACUUCUUGAAAUUAGUAUGAGGGAUCACCUUAUUUACUACCGUCGUUCUAAGUAAACAAGAUGCAAAACAUGAUAAACAUCACAUGCAAUCAAAUAAUAAACGUGACAUGAUAUGGCCAAUAUCACAUAGCUCCUUUGAUCUCCAUCUUGGGGCUCCAUGAUCAUCUUGUCACCGGCUUGACACCAUGAUCUCCAUCAUCAUGAUCUCCAUCAUCGUGUCUCCAUGAAGUUGCUCGCCAACUAUUACUUCUACUACUAUGGCUAACGCGUUUAGCAAUAAAGUAAAGUAAUUUACAUGGCGUUUCUUGAUGACACGCAGGUCAUAUAAAAGAAUAAAGACAACUCCUAUGGCUCCUGCCGGUUGUCAUACUCAUCGACAUGCAAGUCGUGAAUCCUAUUACAAUAGCAUGAACAUCUCAUACAUCACAUAUAGAUCAUUCAUCAUUCAUCACAACUUUGGCCAUAUCAUAUCACAAACCACUUGCUGCAAAAACAAGUUAGACGUCCUCUAAUUGUUGUUGCAAGUUUUUUACGUGGCUGAAAUAGGGUUCUAGCAAGAACGUUUUCUUACCUACGUUAAAGCCACAAAGUGAUUUGUCAACUUCUAUUUACCCUUCAUAAGGACCCUGUUCAUCGAUUCCGCUCCAACUAAAGUAGGAGAGACAGACACCCGCCAGCCACCUUAUGCAACUAGUGCAUGUUAGUCGGUGGAACCGGUCUCACGUAAGCGUACGUGUAAGGUUGGUCCGGGCCGCUUCAUCCCACAAUACCGCUGAAGCAAGAAAGGACUAGUAACGGCAAGAAAGUUGACAAAUCUACGCCCACAACAAAUUGUGUUCUACUCGCGCAAGAAGAACUACGCAUAGACCUAGCUCAUGAUGCCACUGUUGGGGAACGUUGCAGAAAACAAAAAUUUUCCUACUCGUUUCACCAAGAUCAUCUAGGAGUUCAUCUAGCAACGAGUGAUUAGAUGCAUCUACAUACCUUUGUAGAUCGCGAGCGGAAGCGUUCAAAAGAACGGUGAUGAUGUAGUCGUACUCGACGUGAUCCAAAUCACCGAUGACCAGCGCCGAACGAACAUCACCUCCGCGUUCAACACACGUACGGAACAGCCACGUCUCCUCCUUCUUGAUCCAGCAAGGGAGGGAGGAGAGGUUGAGGGAGAUGGCACCAGCAGCAGCACGACGGCGUGGUGUUGAUGGAGCUGCAGUACUCCGGCAGAGCUUCGCUAAGCACUAUGGAGGUGGAGGAGGUGUUGGGGAGGGAGAAGGAGGCAACCAAAGGCCAGGGCGUUCAGGUAUGAAGUCCCUCCUCUCCCCCACUAUAUAUAGGGGUGCCAAGGGGGGGUGGCCGGCCCUAGGAGAUCCAAUCUCCUAGGGGGUGCGGCGGCCUAGGGGGGUUUCCCUCCCUCCCAAGGCACCUAGGAGGUGCCUUCCCCUCCUAGGACUCUUCCCCCUCUAAACCCUAGGCGCAUGGGCCUAUGUGGGGCUGGUGCCCUUGGCCCAUUAGGCCAAGGCGCACCCCCUUACAGCCCAUGUGGCCCCCCGGGACAGGUGGACCCACCCGGUGGACCCCCGGGACCCUUCCGGUGGUCCCGGUACAAUACCGAUAACCCCGAAACUUGCCCCGAUGCCCGAAACAGGACUUCCCAUAUAUAAAUCUUUACCUCCGGACCAUUCCGGAACUCCUCGUGACGUCCGGGAUCUCAUCCGGGACUCCGAACAACAUUCGGGUUACUGCAUAUACAUAUCCCUACAACCCUAGCGUAACUGAACCUUAAGUGUGUAUACCCUACGGGUUCGGGAGACAAGCAGACAUGACCGAGACGACUCUCCGAUCAAUAACCAACAGCGGGAUCUGGAUACCCAUGUUGGCUCCCACAUGCUCCACGAUGAUCUCAUCGGAUGAACCACGAUGUCGAGGAUUCUAUCAACCCCGUACGCUAUUCCCUUUGUCUAUCGAUAUGUUACUUGCCCGAGAUUCGAUCAUCGGUAUCCCAAUACCUCGUUCAAUCUCGUUACCGGCAAGUCACUUUACUCGUACCGUAAUGCAUGAUCCCGUGACCAGACACUUGGUCACUCUGAGCUCAUUAUGAUGAUGCAUUACCGAGUGGGCCCAGUGAUACCUCUCCGUCAUACGGAGUGACAAAUCCCAGUCUUGAUCCAUGUCACCCAACAGACACUUUCGGAGAUACCCGUAGUCUACCUUUAUAGUCACCCAGUUACGUUGUGACGUUUGGCAUACCCAAAGCACUCCUACGGUAUCCGGGAGUUACACGAUCUCAUGGUCUAAGGAAAAGAUACUUGACAUUGGAAAACUCUAGCAAACGAACUAUACGAUCUUGUGCUAUGUUUAGGAUUGGGUCUUGUCCAUCACAUCAUUCUCCUAAUGAUGUGAUCUCGUUAUCAAUGACAUCCAGUGUCCAUAGUCAGGAAACCAUGACUAUCUGUUGAUCAACGAGCUAGUCAACUAGAGGCUCACUAGGGACAUGUCGGUGUCUGUUAUUCACACAUGUAUUACGAUUUCCGGAUAACACAAUUAUAGCAUGAAUAAAGACAAUUAUCAUGAACAAGGAAAUAUAAUAAUAAUGCUUUUAUUAUUGCCUCUAGGGCAUAUUUCCAACACGUAUGACUAUAUUCGGAAUACAUGCCUACAUUACAUUGAUGAAUUGGAGCUAGUUCUAUGUCAUCCUACGUUAUAACUAUUACAUGAGGAAUCACAUCCGAUAUAAUUAUCCAUCACUGAUCCAAUGCCUACGAGCUUUUCACAUAUUGCUCUUUGCUUAGUUACUUUACCGUUGCCACUGUUACAAUUACUACAAAACUGCUACUGUUACUUUUGCUACUGUUACCGUUACUUCCAUACUACCUUGCUACUAAAUAUUUUGCUGCAGAUAUUAAGUUAUCCAGGUGUGGUUGAAUUGACAACUCAACUGCUAAUACUUGAGAAUAUUAUUUGGCUCCCCUUAUGUCGAAUCAAUAAAUUUGGGUUGAAUACUCUACCCUUGAAAACUGUUGCGAUCUCCUAUACUUGUGGGUUAUCAAGACUAUUUUCUGGCACCGUUGCCGGGGAGCAUAGCUCUAUUCUUUGAGUCACUUGGGACUUAUAUCUGCUGAUCACUAUGAGGAACUUGAAAGACGAAAGAACUAAAAUUUAUCCCUCAACUACGAGGGGAGGUAAGGAACUGCCAUCUAGCUCUGCACUUGAUUCUCCAUCUGUUAUGAGCAAGCUUGCAACACCUAAACCUACUCCUGCUAUUAAUUCUAACAUGUCGCAUGUUACUGAUGAUGCCACUUCUGCUAUGCAUGAUACUUAUGAUGAAACUACUUAUAUGCCUGAUAAUACUGUGCUAUUAGGUGAAUUUCUUGAUGAACAACUUUCUAGGGCUAGAGAGGAUGAAAUAAUUAAAACUGAUAUUAUUGAUGAAAGUGAUGAUGAAGAUUCUCCCCCUAGAUAUGAAUUGCAUGUUGUUCCUGAGGGUUAUGUUAUGGAUGAAGAAACUGCUAGAGAUUUUCUUGCUUGCAAUGAUAGAUCUGAUCUUAAGAAGUUAUUAGCUAAGCUAAAACAAAAGUCUCUUAAUGCUAGAAUGAAAUAUGACCCUGCUUUUGCUACUUCACCUAUCUGUGUUACUGAUAAGGAUUAUGAUUUCACUAUCGAUCCAGAGAUAAUUACUUUGGUUGAAUCUGAUCCUUUUUAUGGCAAUGAAUCUGAAACUGUUGUGGCACAUCUUACUAAAUUGAAUGAUAUAGCCACCCUGUUCACUAAUGAUGAGAAAUCUUGCUACUACUAUAUCCUCAAAAUAUUUCCGUUCUCAUUAAAGGGUGAUGCUAAAACUUGGAUUAAUUCUCUUGAUCCUGGUUGUGUGCGUAGUCCCCAGGAUAUGAUUUAUUACUUCUCUGCUAAAUAUUUCCCUGCUCAUAAGAAACAAGCUGCUUUAAGGGAAAUAUAUAAUUUUGUGCAAAUUGAAGAAGAGAGUCUCCCACAAGCUUGGAAGAGGCUUUUCCGAUUACUUAAUGCUUUGCCUGAUCAUCCUCUUAAGAAAAAUGAAAUACUUGACACCUUUUAUAAUGGACUAACCGAUGCUUCCAGAGACCACCUGGAUAUUGUAAGUGCAUCUAGUGCCCCUUAGUGAUUUUGGUGUAUUGAAGACUUAUAGGUUAAGUAACUGAUGCGUUUGUGAGUGUACAUAGGUCUAUAAGUCUAGGAGGAGUUUGAUAUUUACAGAGAAAGUCGACCCCUAAAAAUGAAGUUCUUCGACUGAAGACUUUGAUAUUCUGAAGACUUUGAAAGUGAAGAAAUUGGUGUGACCUUGAAGACUUGGUAUUCACUUGAGGAACAUGAAGCGUGAAGACUUUUGUUUUCGUAGUUUCAUUUUCUCUUUCUUGAGUCAUAGGAAACACCGUACUGUUAAAGGGGGUCGAGGAAAUACUAAGGAAAAAUUUCCAUGUGAUGCUCAACUCAAAAUCCUACACCUACCAAUCCUUUCGAGUGAAGCCAUUGGAAAUCUCAUACAGUUCAGUCAAAUUCUUCAGUGACAGAGACGCAGUUCUUCUGGUCACUGAUGACUUUGGUCUGACUGAGGAGUUAGGAAUUCGCCAGUGCGAAUUGCCUACACAGUGAGGAACAUGAUAGCCCUGAGGACUUUGAGAGUCAAAUUUCCGACCGUUGCUGUGCUGCGCGCCGGCGGACCAAAAUAUCUUAUCCACCUAACGGUCAUAUCAUUGAAGGGCAUUUAUGUCUUAUCAUGUCGGGCUGCUCCCUAGGCUAUAAAUAGCCGCCCCCUACAACCACUAGUUGGUUGGCUGCUCCGAGAGAACUUGACACUUGUCAUUUGAGAGCAACCCAUCCUCCGAGGACUUUGAGCGAAAAUCAUCAAGUGAGGAAAAUCCCAAAACCAAACCCCCACAAACCCAAAGUGAUUGAGCAUCACUGAAGAAAUCGAUCCUGCGUGGAUCCGACGCUUGUUACCUUUGAAGAUUGUGCUUCUUCCAGACGGUUAGGCGUCAAGGUCUAGAGCAUCCAAGAGGAAUUGUGGAUCGCCGAGUGACCAAGUCUGUGAAGGUUUGGAAGUCACCUGAAGACUUACCACGAGUGAUUGGACAAGGCCUGCGUGGUCUUAGUUCAAGGAGAAUACGGUGAGGACUGGGUGUCCUGAGUUGCGGCUCAGAGACUGGGUGUCCGGGACUGUGUGUCCUCGAGUUUAAAUACUCAGCCGCUCCAACCAGACGUACAACUGAGACAGCAGUUGGAACUGGUCUACCAAAUCAUUGUCUUCACCAACUGACUGGUUCUAUUUCCUCAACUCAUUCAUUUCCUCAUUCUGUGUUGCAUGUUGUUCAUAUCUGUGCUUGAAGACUUUGACUGAAGACUUUCACAAAUUCCUCAGUUCAAUUUCUUCAGUCUGUUUGUCUUCAUCUUGUUAUCCUGUGUUUACGCUUUCCGUACUCUAUUCUAGUCUUCAUUUCAUCAUGCUGACUAUGUGUGUAUCCUGUUAUGUUUACUUCUGAGUACAUAUUCCGCUGCAAGUAGUUCUUUGCUAAGGAAUUUCCUCACCGGCAAAUUCCUCAGUGAAGAAUUCAUAAAAAUCACCUAUUCACCCCCCCUCUAGUCGAUAUAACGCACUUUCAAUUGGUAUCAGAGCAAGGUACUCCCUUGUUCUGUGUGAUUUUGGUUUAACCGCCUGGAGUUUUUAGUUAUGUCGACCGCAGGUAUGAUCAAGGUCUCGGCUGGGUGUCCUACCUUUGAUGGAACGGACUACCCCUACUGGAAGAACAAGAUGCGAAUGCAUCUUGAGGCAAUUGACAAUGAUCUCUGGUAUGUUGUGGAAAAUGGUGUCCCCUCUGUCACUGAAACACUGACCGCUACCGAUGUGAAGAGAUUCAAACAACUCGAUUCUCAAGCGAAGAAUAUCAUCUGUGGCCAUCUGAGAAAAGGACAGUAUGGAAGAGUGAGUGCUUUGGAAACUGCUAAGCUUAUCUGGGAUAGGCUGUCCAAAGUAAAUGAAGGAGUCUCAAGUCAGCGUGACUCUCGAGUCGAUGUUCUUCGGAAUCUCUUCAACCGCUUCAAAAGACUCGACAACGAAAAUGUCCAACAAACCUUUGAUCGCCUCACUGACAUCUCAAAUGAGCUUCAAGCCCUCGGUGCCACUGACAUCACUGAUCAUGAAGUUGUGAAGAAACUGCUAAGAUCGCUUGAUUCCUCAUUUGAUACUCUGGGACUGAUGAUACAAGAACGUGCUGACUACAAGUCGCUUGAUCCUGCUGAUAUCCUCGAAAGGCUUAACACUCACGAGUUCCAGCUUGCUGAAAAGAGAGAUAUCUAUGGCUCAAACUAUGGCAAACCACGUGCCCUGAAGGCUAAGGUUGUGUCUGACUCUGAAUGUGAGGAUUCUGGUAGUAGCCUUGGUGAUCCUGAAGAACUGAGCCAGGAUCUAGCUCUGCUUGUGAAGAAAUUCCAGAAGUUCACAAGACGUGGUCGCUUUGGAAAACCCUCAAGAGGAAAUGAUUCUUCAUCCAGUGACUACAAGAGAAGACUUUGCCACAAAUGCAAAAGGCCUGGUCACUAUAUUCAAGAUUGUCCUCAGUGGGAAAAGGAAAUGAAGAAGAAGAAAUACAAGGAUUAUAGUUCUGAUGAUAUGAAGAAGAAGAAGAAAUCGUCAAAAUCUUCGUCAUCAAAACCCUCAAAAUCUUCAUCUCACAAGAAGGGCAACUCCAAGAAAGCUCGGGCAUUCAUUGGCAAGGAAAUGGACUCUGAAGCUGAAUCUGAGGAAAAUGAUGAAGAGGAGGAGUCUGAAGAAUCUGAGUCUGGUGUGACGAGUCUGGCCGUUGCUACUGCUUUCGUCAGCAAGUCCAUCUUCAACACUGAAGAAACUGACUCCACCAACAAGCCUGAUGAAGAUAAUGAUGGCUACGCUCCCACCUAUUGCUUCAUGGCAAAAGGAGCUAAGGUACUCAAAUACAACUCCUCUGAUUCUAGUGAAAAUGAAUCUGAUGAGGAUCUUAAGCCUAGCUACUCUAAACUUGCUAAAAUUGCUGUGAAACAACAAAGGGCUCUUGAAAAGGUUCAAAACAUGCUAGAUAAAAGUGAUGAUAUGUUGGGUGAAGAAAUGGAUUGCACUAAAGCCUUGACUGAGAAUCUUCAGAGACUUCAGUCUAGGUAUGAUAAUCUUCAAGGUCAUCAUAACUCUCUCUUGUCUGAUCAUGAGAAACUUUCAUAUGAAUUUCUUCAAGAGAAGCAAGAUCAUGAGAAGCUUCUCUCUUGAAGCUCUUCAAAGAAAGGAAGAUCUUGAAAAGCUAAGAGUGUGUUAUGAAGAUCUUCUGAAGGAGCGCGAUUCAUUACUAGCUCAACAAAUCAGCGCUUCUCAGGAAGAAUUUGUUCCUCCAUGCUUAAAGUGCAUUGAACGUGAAUCUGCUAAUUCUUCACCUGAAUGUUCAAAUUCUUCAACUGUUACAAAUUCUUCAUCUGCCUCUGCUAUCACUAAUUCCUCAUCUGAGGACAUUGCUAGUAUCACUGACAAUGCAGGGCUGAAGGAAUUGUACAUGACAGGCAUGUACAAAAGCCUCAAAGGGCAUCAGACACUUUGUGAUGUGCUCAAAAAGCAGAUCCUCAACAGAAACCCUAGGAAAGAGGGUAUUGCCUUUGAGAGGAAACUCAAUGCCGAUGGAACAUAUUGGAAGCCCGAGCAGUAUCCCAAAACCUCAUGGGUUGCUGCAAAGGGACCUCCAGUUGAUCCAUCUAAUUUAUCUGGCUUUACAUGUGAAUCUCCUCAUUCUUCUGAUGAGUCAUUUGACUCCAACUAUAAACUGUUCAAAAAUCAGAAUGGUGAAGUAUUUGCUAGAUAUGUUGGCACUAACUGCAGGAACGGUUCCCCUAUGAAGAAAAUAUGGGUUCCCAAAAGCUGUGUUGAAAGUCUUCAGGUGAAUGUCCUCAUGACACCACCUGUGAAGAACAGGAACCCCAGAUCAAAUUCUUCAUAUGGACCAAACUCUUUAUAUGGAUCCAAGUCCUCAUAUGGACCAAAUUCUUCACGAGGAUCAAAUUCCUCAACUGGAUCAAAGUCCUCAUAUGAUUAUCAUCGUGCUAACAAAUCUGUCUCGCAGGGUAAAGCUAAGAGCUAUGAAUAUGUGCAUUAUUCUUCAAACCAUUAUGUUCAUAAGUCCUCGAAGAAUCACUCUGCUUAUUCAUAUGCUUACCCUAACCCCUCCUAUGCUAAGCGAAACGGUUUGGCAUCUUUGCCACCUUUCUCACAUGGUGCUCGCAAGAUGAUGAACUCUUUGCCACCCCUCCAGAUGUGGGGGUGAAGAAAAAGAACUAAUCUCUUCUGCAGGGUCAGGUCUCCAGACGUGCUCUAACGUCUGAAGAAUUUGCUGGGGACCUGACAAAAUGCCUGAAAGGACGCAGGUGAAUCAUGAUGAAAUGAACUUUCAUUUCACACGUCCUCAUACUGCUAUAUCUGUUUACUGCUUGAUGAAAGACAUCUGAUGAACUUGAUAUCAUAUUCUUCACUGAUGAAGCAUAUGAGAUUGUAAGUUACACUAAUUCAUCUGCAGGAUGAUCAACCCAAAACCACUGAAUGGGUCCUCGAUAGUGGAUGUACAAAUCACAUGACUUAUGGCAAGAAUCUAUUGAUGGAUGCUCCCUUAUCACCAUCACCUCUGAAGCAUAUCAUCUUUGCUGACAAAGGCAAAAGUCAGGUAUUGGGUCUUGGUAAGGUUGCUAUUUCUAAGGAUAAGCACAUGGACAAAGUCAUGCUUGUUGAGUCCUUAGGAUACAAUCUCAUGUCAGUCUCAAUGCUUUGUGAUCUUGAAAUGGUUGUUGUCUUUGGCAAAUAUCGCUGUGUUGUGAUUAUGGAAGCUGACAAUUCCAAAGUCUUCGAAGGCUUUGGGAGAGGAGAUCUGUAUAUUGUUGAUUUCUCUACAGGACCACAACCAGCCGUGUGUCUACUUGCAAAAGCUUCAGAAGGCUGGCUAUGGCAUCGACGACUUGGUCAUGCAGGCAUGAGGAAUUUGAACACGCUUGCGAAGAAGAAGCAUGUCAUUGGCAUUGAGAAUGUCAAAUUCCUCAAGGAUCACUUAUGCGGAGCAUGUGAAGCCGGAAAAAUGACCAAGGCCAAGCAUCCAGCGAAGACUAUCAUGACCACUACCCGUCCAUUUGAAUUGCUUCACAUGGACCUCUUUGGACCUAACCAUUAUUCAACAGUCACUAAUGAUGCAUCUCUAUAUGGUUUUGUCAUUGUUGAUGAUUAUUCUCGAUAUACAUGGGUACACAUUAUUACUUACAAACAUGAAGUGCAGGAAGUCUUCAAACGAUUUUCCUCGAGGGCUUCAACCAACUUUGGUGUGAAGAUCAAGCAUAUCAGAAGUGACAAUGGAACUGAGUUCAAGAAUUCUGGUCUUGAUGCCUAUCUUGAUGAACUUGGUAUUACUCAUGAAUUAUCUGCUCCCUAUACUCCUCAUCAGAAUGGCGUCGUGGAGCGCAAGAACAGAACUCUUGUUGAGAUGGCUCGCACUAUGCUUGAUGAAUACAAAACGCCUCAGCGCUUUUGGAUUGAUGCAAUUGAUACUGCCUGCCACAUCAUCAACAGAGUAUAUCUUCACAAAUUCUUCAAGAAGACUGCCUAUGAACUCCUCACUGACAAGAAACCCAAUGUGAGUUAUUUCAAAGUCUUCGGUGCUAAAUGUUGGAUUAGAGAUCCUCACCACAACUCUAAAUUUGCACCGAAAGCACAUGAAGGUUUUAUGCUUGGUUACGGAAAGGACUCGCACACCUAUAGAGUCUUCAACAUUGUUCUUCACAAGAUUGUUGACACUGUAGAUGUGUGGUUCGAUGAAACUAAUGGCUCGCAAAGAGAGCACCUACCUUCUGUGUUAGAUGAACCAGCACCUGAGGAUGCUAUCAAGCUCAAGGCAACUGAGGAUGUCAUUCCUACUGAAGAAUCUGCUGAAGAAUUCAUUCCUGUUCAUGAAGAACGUCGAGCUGAUGCGCCUGAAGAACAUGAUGAGGAAAAUGGUGCUGAGGAAAAUGCUGAUCAAAAUCCUCAGCGACAACCAACUCAUCCACGCGUUGCAAAAGAAGUGCAAGUGGAGAAGAUCAUCGAUGACAUUAGCGCACCAGGUCCUCUCACACGCUCAAAAGCCUCACACUUAUCUAACUUUUGUGGGCACUAUGCUUUUGUCUCUAUCUCAGAGCCCACCAAGGUAGAUGAAGCAUUUCUGGAGCCGGAGUGGAUUUAGGCUAUGCAAGAAGAAUUAAAUCAGUUCGAGUUGAACAAUGUCUGGGAAUUGGUCAAUCGCCCAGAUCCUCGCAAGCAUAAUAUCAUUGGCACAAAGUGGAUCUACCGCAACAAGCAAGAUGAAAAUGGCCUUGUGGUGAGGAAUAAGGCACGACUAGUAGCUCAAGGCUACACACAGGUUGAAGGAAUUGAUUUCGAUGAAACUUUUGCACCUGUUGCUAGACUUCAAGCUAUUCGCAUUUUACUUGCCUAUGCUAACCAUCAUGAUAUCAUCUUAUAUCAAAUGGAUGUGAAAAGUGCAUUCCUCAAUGGUAAGCUUGAGGAAGAAGUAUAUGUUGCUCAACCCCCAGGUUUUGAAGAUCCCAAGAAUCCUGACAAAGUCUUCAGACUCAAUAAGGCCCUCUAUGGCCUCAAGCAAGCCCCUCGGGCGUGGUAUGACACAUUGAAGGAAUUCUUCGUGAAGAAUGGCUUCACACCCGGUUCACUUGACCCUACUCUUUUUACUAAAUCAUAUGAUGGUGAACUGUUUGUGUGCCAAAUAUAUGUUGAUGAUAUUAUCUUUGGCUGUACUAACCAACGAUAUAGUGAUGAAUUUGCCUAUAUGAUGAGUGAAGAAUAUCAAAUGUCUAUGAUGGGAGAGUUUAAAUUCUUCCUAGGUCUUCAAAUCCGUCAGCAGCGCAAUGGCAUAUUCAUAUCUCAGGAGAAAUACCUCAAAGAUGUACUGAGGAAAUUCGGCAUGCAAGAUUGCAAAGGCGUCAAAAUUCCUAUGCCCACAAAUGGCCAUCUAUGCACUGAUGAAAAUGGUAUUGAUUUCGAUCACAAGGUAUACCGCUCCAUGAUUGGUUCUUUAUUGUACUUAUGUGCAUCUAGGCCAGAUAUAAUGCUUAGUGUUUGCAUGUGUGCCCGAUUUCAAGCUGCACCGAAGGAAUCACACCAUAAGGCUGUGAAGCAUAUUCUUCGAUAUCUAGCUCACACACCAACACUAGGAUUAUGGUACCCCAAGGGCUCUGCUUUUGAUCUCAUUGGAUAUUCUGACUCUGACUAUGCUGGUGAUCGUGUGGACCACAAGUCAACAUCUGGCACUUGUCAUUUCCUCGGACGAUCUUUGGUCUGUUGGUCCUCGAAGAAACGGAACUGUGUAUCACUGUCUACUGCUGAAGCUGAAUACAUUGCUGCUGGCUCAUGAUGUGCUCAACUGCUUUGGAUGAAGCAAACCCUCAAGGACUAUGGCGUCAACGUGAAGAAUGUGCCUCUCCUCUGCGACAAUGAGAGUGCCAUCAAGAUUGCUCACAACCCAGUUCAGCACUCGAAGACUAAGCACAUCCAGAUUCGUCAUCAUUUUCUUCGUGAUCAUGUGUUGAAGGGCGAUAUCUCCAUCGAGCAUGUGAAGACUGAAGAACAGCUGGCUGAUAUCUUCACUAAGCCCUUGGAUGAGAAGAGAUUUAGCAAGUUGCGGUGUGAGCUAAAUAUCUUAGAAUCUUCGAAUAUUCUUUGAAAAGGACACACAUCCUAACCCUUAUGCAUAAUUGAUGACUUAGAUGUGCAACACAUGAAGAAACGUUUUUCCUCAAUCAAUGAAGAAUAACAUUCUAAGUGUGAAGAAAUUAAUGAAGAAUUUGAUUCUCAGAACCCUACGACAAUUGUACGCGGUGUCUGAAAUCAUCAUUCUUAUACGGUGGGCUACGCCACCACAAAAGUUGAAAAUCUUCAAUUUGAGUUUUUCCUCAUUUUUGAAAUUCCUCAGUUUUUAAAAUUCUUCAACUUUGCAAAAUCUUCAAUGUUUCCGUCGUUGUUCUUCAUUGGCUAUAUAUAUAUAUAAGAGUUUAUGUCCUCUACAGCAUUCACUUAUUGCUAAUUCUUCAAGUUGCUAUUUCUGCUAAGUGAAUGUGAUCGGACCCUCCCCCCUCUAUGCUAUACUCAAUCCAAUCUAUUCACAAAUUCUUCAUGUGCGUUCUGAUUGAAACUCGUUCAAAGUCUUCACUGUGUCCUUGACGGCUGAAGAAAUUGCGAACAAAAUUUUUAAACAAAUCUUAUCCAAGUUUUCGGUUUUACCGCUCAAACCGUUCCGCAUCCCACGAUGCAUUAGUUUAAUCACCCACGAUCUUACACAAUCUCAUCUGCACAGUACGUGGGUGACACAUGUCGCGUAAAGAAGAAAGGGCAGGGGCAUGUUCGUCCCAAAAUCUUCGGGCGAACAGUUUUCACAGUGGCUAUAAAUACCCCUCUCCCUUCCUUACUUCAUUUACUCUGCUCGGUCGAUGUCUCUCGCUCGAGCUCUCCUCAAACCCUAGCGCCGCCGCUACUCCAUCGCCGCCGGUGAGGAAGAGCUUCACUGCCUCGACCUCAUCGCCGUCGUACUCGCGCCGACCGCGGAAUUCUUCACUCCGCCGCCGCCGUAGCUGUCUCCCUCUGCCAAGUUAGGGCGUGGGAGAUCUAACGUGACGAACUUCACUACAGUUCAUCUCUGUUCGUCGUGUUCUUCAGUUCGAGUAAUUAAAAGUCACUUUUAUUACUCGCGUUGAUUCUCAAAUCUUUCUGAAAAUAUUCAUAGGUGUUUUUGUUCUUCAUAUCUUCACAUAUGAACACCUCACACACUGUAUACUCUUGAUUUAUCUCUCUAAGCAUUCAUUUCUUCAAGAUUCCUCAAUUGUGCGGAUUUUCAAUCUGUACAACUCUGGAACCUGAGACAAAACGCUUAGUGAAAUUCCUCAAGGCUCAACUGGUGAAAUUCCUCAAAACUUGUUCUUUUGAAAAAUCAUCUGAGAACGCAUAUGACCUCUCCAAAUUCCUCGCACCUACACUCUGUUCAUAGGUACUCAUGUCCGCUGCUGAAUCACUAGGUUCUCAUCAACUUAACUCAUUUGCAGCGUUCCUCGAAGAAAAACUGCAUACUUCUUCAGAGUGCUCUAUUGUUCAAAUUCCUCAUCUGAAGAAAAUGGCAGAAGGCAAGAGACCGCAGAAGGGAGGAAAGAAACCGGAGGUCAUGACUGCCUUUGAGAUUCCUGAUGAAAUAUACAAAGAUUACUGCACACCUGAUGAAUCCAAGUUUGGCAAGGAGACCAAAAAUCAGCGCAAAGUGCGCAUUCAAAGGAUAGAAAGAAGAUGGGCACGAGAAUGGAGGGAAUAUCGCUAUGUUACACCCAAGUACAUGAGGAAAUUCGCGUUAAACCCUCCAUGCCCAAGAGCUCCAUUGGCACCUGGCCAAGUCGCUGAUCCCACCAGCAUCAAGCGUGGUGAAGACUUUCCUGAAGAGUGGUCCAGAUGCCAAGCCAAAUUGGCAAGACAGGCCAAGGAGGCAGUAAGGAAAUUCAAUGAGGAUUCUGCCGCUGCUGCUGCCGCUGAACCCUCGGUCAAGCCGAGGAAAUCAAUGCCAAAGAAGCCUGCUCGCAAGCCAAGUGCUUCACCGUCAGCGCCCUCACGGCCCAGUUCCUCAGCUGCGCCCUCACGGCAAAUUCCUCAGACUGCUGCUGCUCAUUCAAAAUCCUCAGCAGCUCCCUCCAAGUCCUCAACUCCUGUGCAUCUGGCUACAUGUCAAAGGACUCAGGGUUUCUCAAUUGCCUCGGGUGUCUCAGCAAGUUCCUCAGCUGCACCAAUGUCCUCAACAGGCCCCACUCUGCUGAAGACAAAAGCAACAGUUGGACGCGGUCCUCGGCCAAGUCCAAAGAAGAAACAGGUUGCAUUCAAUGUUCCCUCUGAUGAUGAAGCCUCUGAUGAAGAACUUGCAGAAAUCAUCAGAGACAGACUGACCAAGGCCGCUAGAGCCAAAAGAACAAAUGUGCCUCUGCUUUUGGAUCCGAAGAAGAUCCUUGAUUUCAUCGACCUAUGGCAUCAGGAUCCAAACACUCCCAUACCGGAUCUGCCACUGACUCCUGGUCAAAGUCAUAUGCUGAACCAUUUCAUCGCUAAAGAGAAAUGGAAAUUUGAAAAGGCUCGUGAAUUAAAGAGAACGCAAGCCAGAAAGGAGAAGCUUCUGAGGAAGAAUAUCGUCAACUUGACUCCUGAAGAACUUCUCAAAGCUCAAUCUGAAAUCCAAGCCCUCAGCAAGGAUUUCGAUGCUUACAAUGCUGAUUGGCAAGGAGCCAAGGUGAGAUUCGUCAAUUUGACAAAGAAAAUGACAACUGUUGCAGCCCCAUCGCAACAAGAAAAUCCUCAGGCUGAAGACUCUGCUCAGCCUGCUGAAGAACAUGCCAGCACUGCUGAUGACUUUCAGCGUGCUGAUGAGAACACAAGUUCCAGGGCUGAUGACUCCAUCCCAGCCGCUGAAGAAAUUCCCAGGGCAUCCACUAGUGGUGCGCCUGAAGAAUCUGAAGAAAACAGGGCAACUGCACCAGUUGCACCUGAAGAAACUGUACCACAAUCCUCAGCUCCUCCUGCGCCAACAACAACUCCAAUUCUUCCUUCAGCUUAUGAAGUGAAGAAGACAAAGGCUGCAGAACGAGCUGCAGUGAAGAAGAGGAAGGCAUCAGCUGCGUCAAAUUCUUCGGCUGCGAAGAAAAUGAAGCCAAUGACCAGCUCACUUGAAAAUCCUAUUGAUGCCAUUCCCAUCUCCUCCAUGUCGUCUAAGGAAAUUGUUCCUUAUGGAUAAGAUUACACGAUCCCAAGUGGAUCUGAUGAAGAAAAUCAAUCUGUUGCUACCUCAGAAUAGCUUGAUGAAGAAAUUGAAGUGGAAGCUUUCCCUUCAACCCCAGUCGUUUCCUCACCCGUGCCUCAGUUCACAGCUGAAGAGGCAGGUGUUGAGGAAAUUGAAAAAGAAGACGAAGACGUGGAUAUUGGGUGCACUACACCAGUGAUGAACGAUGACUUUUGGGAAAGUCAGCAUCCCAAUACUCCUCUCUUCACUCCGAUUCUACAAGUUCCUCUGUCCCCGGCUACAACUGUUCAAAUGGGCUCUGAAGAAACUCAUCCCGCAUCGUCUGUCAAUGAAGAGAUUCCAGCCACUAGCGCUGAAGAACCCACUGCUGAUCCUCAAACUGCACAAGGAGAGGAACCAGAAAUUCCUCAGCCUGAAGAACCUAAGAUCGCGAUUCCUGAAGUUGUGCUGCAAAUCACUGAUAUUCCUCUGCCCAAACCGAAGAAUCCGUUCUCGAGCAAGCAAAAAUUCAAGGCUGAAGACUUCUUUUCUGAGCAUGUGUUCUUCACUGCUUAUAAUCCUUAUGACUCUGCUCGUAUGAGGAAAAGACGCUUCUGGACUCCUACUCAAGCAAACUUCUAUUCCUCAGUACUGUUUGACAAGGACAAGAUCUUCGACCAUGAGCAUAUUCCUCAUGUGGAUAUGGAAUCACUGUCGUGCUUCGAGCCAGUACUCCGUGUUCUUCAUGAUGCACGGCUGCUGAAUUUCUGCACUGAUAUCUGCGACUGGAAUGAAGAACUCAUUCUUCAGUUCUAUGCCACCCUGCACAUCACCGGAGAUGCUGAAGAUAUCAACUCAUGGGUACUGGAUUGGAUGACAGAGAAUACUCACUACAAGGCACCAGCAACUGAAUUGCUUCGUGUCCUUCCUCUUGAUCCUCCCCAUGAAACUGCAGGUUGCAUCUACAAUGACCACGAACUGUCUGAUCACUUUAUGCAAGUGCUCAUGAAACCGUUGAAGCCAGGACAAGCCCCUCGAACCAAAUUCCUCGUCAAGGAUUUGCUGUAUGUGCCUCGGACCGUCUAUAGAAUCUUGACGAAGAUAAUGAGUCCCAUCAAAGGCCACGACUCAAAUGAAGAAGAUGUCGUUGGCAUCAUGAAGAACAUGCUUUUCAAUAUCAUUCAUGGCGUUCCUGUCAAUUUCCAUGAUUUCUUCAUGAGGACUCUGACCAAUGUUGCAAUGUCACCUUUUGAGCUGAAGCCAUAUGCACCUUGGAUUAUGAGAUUCAUAAGGGCAAGAUCUUCACUGAACUACAAGGCUGACACUUUGAAUCAUGGCAGCUACUUGCCGCCCAUUGAAGUCCUCAAGCGACCAGUUUCAUCAUCUGAUGAUAAGGGCAAGGCAGCAUCUGUGAUUGAUGAAGGCACUCGUCCAUUGGAUGGUCAAUUUCGCAAGGCUGCAUCUUACUCCACCAAUGACGAUUCUGCAACGCAUGACACUGCCGCAAAUACCUCAACCAAGCAACAGCCUCAAGCUACUGCACCCAGGGUGAUGACUGAUCGUGAGUUACUCCUCAGUCUUCAUCAGAAGGUUGAUCGCAAUCAGAAAUGGGUGAAGCGCCAAUUUGCUGCAAUUCUUCACAACAUGACCUCAACACAUAAUGCAGUGAAGAAAAAUCAGUACUACCUUCAUGAAACCCUCAACCGCACCUGGGUUGUUCUUAAUCAUGUAUAUUCCGCGGAAGAAUUGAAGACAAUGGGUCUUCAGGAAGCAUUUGACUGGUCUGCACCACCUCCGAAGAAAUUCAAGAGAGUCAAAGUUCCUGAUUUGGUGGCUAGCUCUUAUUCUUCAUCGCGUGAAACUGAUGAAUAUGAAGAUUUGGACGACACUGCGGCAGGCCCUACUUCAACAUCCAACCCCGACAACGCUGGCGCUCCUUCCUCGACUUGAAAAUCUUCAGGGGCGUUAGUCCUCAGUUUCGAUCCUUUUGGUCAUUUGAUGACAAAGGGGGAGAAAUCUGAGUUAGUCUUCAAGCGGGUUUAUACUAUGGGCGUUUUUAUUAAGUUACAACUCUCGUUCUUCCGAAACCUUUUAUUGGAUCGAGUUGUAAUCUUAAAUCCGAUGGUGCCUUGAUACUUUUGAUCGUGCUUCGAUAUGUUUGAUGCUCUGAUUUUGAUAUGUUUGAUGCUCUGAUGCUUUUGAAGCACUAAGCUCUGAAUAUGAUAUUUGAGCUCUGAAACUCUUGAUGUGAUAUUCUGCAUGCUUAUUCCUAGUCAAUAUUAUUGCACGCAUGCUGAAUCACAUCAGGCACCAUAUUUCAUCAUGCAUUUCAAAUUCUUCAUAUUAUAUAUCAAAUGUGUGUAUGAAUUACAAGAUAUAGGGGGAGAUCUCCAUGAUUCAAUUCUUCAAAAUGUGCAUUGCCUCAAAAGCAAAUUCCUCAUUAUGCACAUAUUCAGGGGGAGUUCUUCUAUAUCUUGCAAUCAAAUUCCUCAAUAUCAGUAUUUACACUUCAUAUGUUUAUCCCCGUUGAAAACUUAACCUAUGUUGUCAUCAAUCACCAAAAAGGGGGAGAUUGUAAGUGCAUCUAGUGCCCCUUAGUGAUUUUGGUGUAUUGAAGACUUAUAGGUUAAGUAACUGAUGCGUUUGUGAGUGUACACAGGUCUAUAAGUCUAGGAGGAGUUUGAUAUUUACAGAGAAAGUCGACCCCUAAAAAUGAAGUUCUUCGACUGAAGACUUUGAUAUUCUGAAGACUUUGAAAGUGAAGAAAUUGGUGUGACCUUGAAGACUUGGUAUUCACUUGAGGAACAUGAAGCGUGAAGACUUUUGUUUUUGUAGUUUCAUUUUCUCUUUCUUGAGUCAUAGGAAACACCGUACUGUUAAAGGGGGUCGAGGAAAUACUAAGGAAAAAUUUCCAUGUGAUGCUCAACUCAAAAUCCUACACCUACCAAUCCUUUCGAGUGAAGCCAUUGGAAAUCUCAUACAGUUCAGUCAAAUUCUUCAGUGACAGAGACGCAGUUCUUCUGGUCACUGAUGACUUUGGUCUGACUGAGGAGUUAGGAAUUCGCCACUGCGAAUUGCCUACACAGUGAGGAACAUGAUAGCCCUGAGGACUUUGAGAGUCAAAUUUCCGACCGUUGCUGUGCUGCGCGCCGGCGGACCAAAAUAUCUUAUCCACCUAACGGUCAUAUCAUUGAAGGGCAUUUAUGUCUUAUCAUGUCGGGCUGCUCCCUAGGCUAUAAAUAGCCGCCCCCUACAACCACUAGUUGGUUGGCUGCUCCGAGAGAACUUGACACUUGUCAUUUGAGAGCAACCCAUCCUCCGAGGACUUUGAGCGAAAAUCAUCAAGUGAGGAAAAUCCCCAAACCAAACCCCCACAAACCCAAAGUGAUUGAGCAUCACUGAAGAAAUCGAUCCUGCGUGGAUCCGACGCUUGUUACCUUUGAAGACUGUGCUUCUUCCAGACGGUUAGGCGUCAAGGUCUAGAGCAUCCAAGAGGAAUUGUGGAUCGCCGAGUGACCAAGUCUGUGAAGGUUUGGAAGUCACCUGAAGACUUACCACGAGUGAUUGGACGAGGCCUGCGUGGUCUUAGUUCAAGGAGAAUACGGUGAGGAAUGGGUGUCCUGAGUUGCGGCUCAGAGACUGGGUGUCCGGGACUGUGUGUCCUCGAGUUUAAAUACUCAGCCGCUCCAACCAGACGUACAACUGAGACAACAGUUGGAACUGGUCUACCAAAUCAUUGUCUUCACCAACUGACUGGUUCUAUUUCCUCAACUCAUUCAUUUCCUCAUUCUGUGUUGCAUGUUGUUCAUAUCUGUGCUUGAAGACUUUGACUGAAGACUUUCACAAAUUCCUCAGUUCAAUUUCUUCAGUCUGUUUGUCUUCAUCUUGUUAUCCUGUGUUUACGCUUUCCGUACUCUAUUCUAGUCUUCAUUUCAUCAUGCUGACUAUGUGUGUAUCCUGUUAUGUUUACUUCUGAGUACAUAUUCCGCUGCAAGUAGUUCUUCGCUAAGGAAUUUCCUCACCGGCAAAUUCCUCAGUGAAGAAUUCAUAAAAAUCGCCUAUUCACCCCCCCUCUAGUCGAUAUAACGCACUUUCAGAUAGUUGUGCUGGUUGUGUUUUCAGGGAAAGAACAGUCGAUCAAGUUGAAUUAUUAUUGAAUAAUAUGUUGACAAAUGAAAAUAAUUGGACACUUCCUGAACCAAUCCUGAAGCCAACUCCGAAGAAAAUAGGUGUUCUAUUUCUCAGUCCUGAAGAUAUGCAAGAGGCAAAGAAAUCUAUGAAAGAAAAAGGUAUUAAAGCUGAAGAUGUUAAGAAUUUACCUCCUGUUGAAGAAAUACAUGGCCUUAAUAUACCACCUAUCAAAGAAAUACAUGGUCUUGAUAACUAGACACAGGUAGUAAAGGUAAAUUCUCUCUAUAGAUAUGAUAAAGUUGAAAUUCCGUCUACUAAGUUUGCUAGCCAAUGCUUGGAUGAAUUUGAUGACUUUAUGGCUAGACAAGAAAAUUUUAAUGCUUAUGUUGGUAGACAAUUAAAAAGUAAUGCUUAUAUGAUUGGACACUUGAGGGAUUAUAUGGCUAGAGUUAAAGGUGAACUUAAACUCAUUAGUAAACAUGCUUCUAUGGUUACCACUCAAGUAGAACAAGUACUUAAGGCUCGGAAUGAUUUGCUCAAUGAAUUAAAUAAUAAACAUGACUUUGCUGUUAGAGGAGCAACUAGAAUGGGUAAAAUGACUCAGGAACCCUUGUAUCCUGAGGGCCACCCUAAGAGAAUUGAGCAGGAUUCUCAGAGAACUAAUGUUGAUGCACCUAGUACUUCUAAAAAGAAGAAGAAAAAUGAUAGGACUUCACAUGCUUCUAGUGAACUUGUUGUAGACACACCUGAGAAUCCCAAGAAUAUUUCUAUUUCUGAUGCUGAGACACAAUCUAGUGAUGAACAGGAACCUAGUGAUAAUGUUAAUGAUAAUGUUCAUGUUGAUACUCAACCUAUAAAUAAUAAUGAUGUAGAGAUUGAACCUGCCGUUGAUAUUGAUAACCCACAAUCAAAGAAUCAACAUUAUGAUAAGAGAGACUUUGUUGCUAGGAAGCACGGUAAAGAAAGAGAACCAUGGGUUCAGAAACCCAUGCCUUUUCCUCCUAAUCCAUCCAAGAAAAAGGAUGAUGAGGAUUUUGAGCGCUUUGCUGAAAUGAUUAGACCUAUCUUUUUGCGUAUGCAUUUAACUGAUAUGCUUAAAGUUAAUCCUUAUGCUAAAUACAUGAAAGAUAUUAUUACAAAUAAAAGAAAGAUACUGGAAGCUGAAAUUUCCACCAUGCUUGCUAAUUAUACUUUUAAAGGUGGAAUACCUAAGAAACUAGGAGAUCCAGGAGUACCAACUAUACCUUGGUCCAUUAAAAGAAACUAUGUUAAAACUGCUCUAUGUGAUCUUGGAGCAGGUGUUAGUGUUAUGCCUCUCUCUUUAUAUCGUAGACUUGAAUUGAAUAAGUUGACACCUCCUGAAAUAUCUUUGCAAAUGGCUGAGAAAUCAACCUCUAUACCUCGGCAUUUGUGGGGAUGUGCCUGUUGUGGUUGCAAACGUUACUAUCUUAACGGACUUCGUUAUUCUUGAUAUUCCCGAGGAUGAUAGUAUGUCGAUUAUCCUUGGUAGACCCUUUUUGAAUACUGCAGGGGCUGUUAUUGAUUGCAACAAAGGCAAUGCCACUUUUCAUGUUAAUGGUAAUGAACAUACGGUACAUUUUCCGAGGAAACAACCUCAAGUUCACAGUAUCAAUUCUAUUGGAAAAAUUCCAUCAAUUAUUAUUGGAGGUUUUGAAUUUCCUCUUCCUACUAUCAAGAAGAAAUAUGAUAUUCUUAUUAUUGGGGAUGUUCAUAUCCCCGUUGAGGUAACCUAGUGUUAUUCGAAAUUACUCUGGUUCCAUGUUAUUCAGAUUGAGUUUGUUAACAAGAUCAUGAGAUGGAUGAAGUUACAAGGCACAACCUUCUGUACCCUCUUUUUACUUUCUUUUAUUUAGGUUAAAUAAAGCAAAAAUAGUAUUUUCUGUCUGUUUUCUGAAUUAUCCAUGCAAUAAAAAAUACCCCAAAAAUAAAAGUUCUCCAAAUGCCCUGAAAAUUUAAUAUGAUUUUUUCUAGAAUAUUUGAGAAUAUCUGGCACUGAGAACACAGCAGGGGGAGCAAGCACCUGGCCACGAGGGUCCAGGGCGCGCCCCUUGCCUCGUGGGCCCACGGUGGCCCCCUUCACUUAUUCCUGCACCCAUACUCUUCUUCUUCCUCCCAAAAAAAUCACUAUCCAUCUCAAGCUCAAGUUCUAGCUCAUCUUGCUGCCAUUUUCGAUCUCCUUCCUCAAAGCUCCUUUCACAAAACUGCUUUGGUGGUUUGUUCUUUGGUAUGUGACUCCUCCAAUGAUCCAAUUAGUUUUUGUUCUAGUGCUUUAUUCAUUGCAAAUUUUUGCUGCCUAGGUGACCCUGUUCUUGAGCUUGCAUGUCAAAUUUAUAUGGUCCCAAGUAGUUCUAAUGCAUGAAAUAGUCUCUAGGCACUUGUGGGAGUAGUUGCUAUCAAUUUUGUUGAGUUUGGUUCACUUUUAUUUUGAGUUACUAAAAAUUUCAGAAAUUUUCAGAAAAUGAUGAAGAGAUUUUUGAGGGGCUCUUCUAGCCAAAGAUCGAAGGAGAAGCAGAGUAAGGAGAAUAAAAAGCCCAAGUAUAAUCUCCCUUGCGUCACGGAAGUUCAGCCGUGUGAAUGGCCUUGUGAUGAUUUCUUGAGAGCGGCCGGGAUUCAUGAUGAUUUUUACUCUUUGGCUGGUGAUGCGGGCCUCACCGACUUCCUCCAUGACCAGCUCGAACAGUAUCUCUGACUCACUAAUACUUCUGUGCAAAAAAUUUACUUUCAUUCUAAGAAAUCACCUCCUUUAGUAGAGUUUCAUUUAUAUGAUGAGGCUAGGGAGAUGUCAUUAUGUGAAUUUUGUGCGGUUUGCAAGAUACCCUUCGAGGGCAGCUUAGAGGAACCACAUCGUAGAGAUGUGGAUGGAUUUAUUGACAUGAUUACUAUAGGGGAAACGAGGAAGGUUUUCGAUGCAAGGAUUACUAGCAUACAUUUUCCUGUUUUACGUUACUUUGCAAUAUUCGCUAGUCGAUGCUUAAUUGGUCGCGGGAACUGUGGAAACCUUAGUGUUCCCGAUAUUAUUAUUUUGUGCCAUGCUUUAUUUUGUGAUAACACUGUUAGUACGUGUGCUAUUGUUGCUAAAUGGUUAAGUCUGAACCGUACAAAGGGCCCCAUCUUUGGAGGCAUCUAUGCUUCACGCCUUGCUAAACACUUCAGGGUACCUAUUAGGCAUUAUGAGAAAGAUGAAAAGCUACUGCCUCCUACUUUUCUAGAUUAUAAGAGCAUGGUAGCACAUGAGUUUAUUGUUAAAAAUGAUGAUAAGAUGCUUAAGUAUAAUUUGAGAUUUCAUAAAACUCACAGUGAGACUAUUAUCUUGCCUGCACCCUCUUUGUUUGAUUUAACUACAGGCACGUACCUCAUCUUGCCGGAUGCCGUUCACACGUACCGGGGCCAGACAUCAGCUCCAGAGCCUGAGCCGGAACCACCACUUGACCCUUAUCGACCGUCCUUUUAUCAGUGGGAUCUGGAGGAGAUCGCCAGCCAGUGGUACCCGGAUGACACUCCUCAGUACACCGGAGAGAGUAGCCGCAAUCCAUGGGCAUAGACCAACUUAGGCCAAAAGCCUAAGCUUGGGGGAGUACGUAUUUCUCACUGACAUUAAAUUCAUGUUCACACAGUUAUUCUAGUUGUCGGUGCUCACACUUUUUCAUUGUACUAUCCAUGCUAGUUUAAUUUCUUUUUCUUGCUUUCUUCUUGUGUGUUUGAAUAACCUUAAGAAAAACCAAAAAAAA
rnacentral:lncRNA from 1 species